AAUUAUUUAUUGGCUAAAUUAUAGAAAAUUUUCUAUCAAAAUUUGAUUUUUUAUUUUUCUUCCAUGUCAUUUAAAAAUCUAUACUUUGCCCUCUUGUAAAAUAAAAAAUGUUCACGGGGUAUGGUGUGAACUAUAAUAAUAAAAUGAUCAUUUUGCCCCUCACCAUUUUGCCUCUUAUUAUGUUCACAGAAGAGAAGGCUAAAAAUAUUUUUGGUAUAAAAAAAUAUAAUAAUAUUUUAUAAACGAAUCCUAACGGAUUACUAAUGGUAGGGGACGAAGUAAACAUUUUUUAUUUUACAAGAGGGCAAAGUGUAGGUUUUUAAAUGACAGGGUUGGAAAGUGAAAACUCGAGUUUCGACAGGAAAUUUUAUGUAAUUUAACCUUAUUUAUUUAAGAAUGUGAAAUCUACCGUCAAUAGGUAUUGGAUUCCGUUUCUUGAGGCGACUUGGUAAGGUGAUUGAAAUUUAUUUUUCUUCGACUAUUAGCGGAUUCAAAAUAUUUUUGGAAAAACUUCAAAAACCCCGCGUAGUUUCUCAUUUUAGCCUCCUGUGGUUUAAAAUGUAUCAAAUUGUCCCCUUGUUGUUUCGUUUUUAUCUUUUCGGUAGCUUUUUCGUUAAUAUUUUAUUAAAUUAUAUACAAAAAAACUUCAGAUACCUAUCUAGAUUUAUCAAAUAUUCACUUUACUACCUUUUAAUUUUAACUUUAUCACUGAUUUAAGAAAAAAAAAUAAUAAAAUUGAUAAGAAAAAGAGAAAAAAGAAAUCACAGGGGGGCAAAUUGAUACAUUUUAAACCCCCGGGGGGCAAAGUGAGAAACUACGAAAUCACAGUGGGGNGUUUGAAGUUUUCCUAAUAUUUUUUAGACUAGUUAACUUAGAAAUAAUAAAAUAUCUUUCACCCUAGGGGGAACCCUUUUGGUGUUUUUAGUAAAAAUAGAAAACAUAAAAUAUUAACUCGAAGGAAACGGUAAUGUAUUUACGGGUUAUCAACUUAUCUGUGCAUCAGUAGUGGCAGAAAGUGUAUGGGAUAAUUAUAUCUUUUGGAAUAGAAGUUGUCUAAUAUCUAGUCAAAAUUUAUCAUAAAAUGUUGCUAGUGUUUUAGGUCAGAGUCUUGUGAAAUACAAACUAACCUAAAAUCUGAUCUAGCCAGUUGGUGAGCUGGGUUUUCUUGGAUUUUGACUAAAUUCGGAGCUUCUAUUAUACUGAAUCCGACUUUUGAGAGUUUAAACUUGGAGUAAUAACAUUCUUCUAAGAAAAUAAACUCACUUUCAGGAAAUAAAGAAGCUUAAUUUAUACUACUCAUUUAAUAUAAAAACUCCACAUGCAUUAAUUUCUGGUGACUUUUAUACAAACUCAGGAAUAGCAAAUACGCCAAACAAAAAUAAAUGCGAAGUUCAUCUAGACAGAAAUUUUGAAUCAAUAUAAAUGAUAUAAUCUAAAACUUGGUUACUCACUAAAUUGACGAAAACAACAGGGAACUUGAGGCAGAAGACAAUGUAACAGUGAAAAAAGGUGGUCACUUUAAACAUGGUAGUCCCCUUGUUUAUUAUUUCGAAUGCAAUAAUACAACCCUCUAUUGGGGGACAAAUUGAAAAACUGAAUGAAAAUACACCUUAUUUUACGCAACAUCAAUCAUGCAGCCUCCACACUAAUUAACCUUGACUUCACACUCACCCCAUCCUUCCCUGCAAUAAUUACUGUACUCGCCAUAUCCAAAAACAACCCAUGCUCUACAACCCCUUCAAACGCCGAGAUCUCCUUUCCAGCGCCUAGUGCAUCCUUAAUUGGAGUCUUGAAGUACAAAUCUACAAUAUAGUUUGAAUUAUCCGUGAUAUAAGGUUUCCCAUCGCCGUCCAGCCUAAGCUUUGCUUCACACCCUUCUUCUUUGAACAAUUCUUGCAAUCUUCUUAGGUUAUACUUCCAACAGAACUGCACGACUUCCACCGGCAUUGCGAGUCCGCUUCCGCCUAAGCCGGUUACGAGCUUUGUUUCAUCGACAACCACGAUGAAUUUGUCUGAAGCAGCCUCAACCAUCUUCUCCCGAAGAAGAGCCCCUCCGCGCCCUUUAACUAGGUUAAUAUUUGGAUCCACCUGUUUUAAAUCCCAUAUUGAAGCUCAAAUGCAAGCAAAUAGACUCGUCGUACAUACAGUAGCAGGACGCAACAAAAGAGAACAGUGACAUAUUAUUGACUUCCAAAUAUUUUGUCAUAUGUCCCCGAAGAAAUGUUCUUUCAUACAAUCCACAAGAAUCAUCUAGUAUCUAAAUUCUAAAGCAAAUUCUUGCAUAUUUAACAUUGUAAUGGAGUCAUCUACAAAUUGGUAGGAAGGAAAAAAAAACAUGGCUAAGACAGUACAUAAAAUGCAGUCAAAACUUGAAACUAGUUGUUCGUAAACUAGCGAAUCACAAAACCUACCAGAAGAAAAAUAGUAAGAUAUAAGAAAUUAUCCAUCUGCCUGCUUGUGGUACAUUCACCAAGCAACGGUAGAUUAACACCCCCUCAGGAGGGGGGGGAUGGGGAAGUCGAGAAAGUUCACCAGCUGUUUAGAUUCCAAUUGGAAAUCUCUACAGGGAAAAACCAGCUGAUAAACAUUUUAUUUUUGGUCAAAUUCUUUAAUAAGGCCAUUAUGACCCAAAAUUAGCAGCAGCAAGAGUUUAUUGAGGGGAUAUUACUGCAAACUUUGUCAGGGCUUCUUAGACCAACUCCACUUAAACAACAUUACAGCAGAAACUUUGAUUGGGCAAAACAAGCUCUACAGGGAUGUUCCAUGUUCGCUAAGAAAUCUACAGAUGUGCAGCAACAAGAUCAUGUUCGUCAAGAAUUUAUCUCUCUCAUCAACAUAGAUAUAUGCUCUUUCCCUUGUAAAGAAGAUCGGCCGCAUUUUCUGAUUUUACCAUGAUUUAUAACAUAUUCAUCUAACUCUCGAAAUAAGAACUCCACUCCGAAAGUAUUGAGAACUUAACAUCAGAUCUUUCUCUCUUCACCUGUAUAAAAGGGAGCUUCUUGCUACCAAUCAUAGAGAAGCUGAAAAUGUAUAAAACUAAACUAAGGUUUGACCUUUUAUUCAUUUGAUUCGAGCCAUUGAAGAGCAUUUCUGAUUCAGAAUUUGGGUGCACCGUUUAUCUGGAAAAGAAUGAUUCGAGUAUGUCAUGGCUAAUUUCCCUUAAAACAAUUGAAGUGCUCGAAAGGUCUAGACUCUAAAAUCAAACCUUUCGAAGGUUGGGUAGUUGGACCAAAACAGGCUAUAGUAUAUGUGUAAGUUCCUUGCAUUUUUACCUAUAGAGCAAUAGCAAAGUGUUUGAAGUAUAAGCAAUCAUUAAUGAUCUCAAACUCCAUUCAAUCUAGGGGUAGAGGGAGAGUUAGAGACAGAGAGAGAGUCUCUAUGACCUCAUCGGCGCCAUCGAUGGCGAGAUUGAUGUGGGGGUGGUCGUCGAGGGUGGAGAGGGGGAUGCCGAGCGACUGGGCCUGCUCGAAGGUGCGCUUGGAGGUGGGGACGCCGACGAUGUCGGAGAGCUUACCGGAGGCGAGGAGGGCACCGAUCUCGGCGACGACGAAGGCGGCGGUGGAGCCGGUGCCGAGGCCGAGGACCAUGCCGCUGCUCACGUACUCCACGGCCUUCUCCGCGGCGAGCUUCUUGAGGUCGUCCUGCGUGAGAGCGGAGGGCACGGAUUGCGCAAGGAUCCGAGGGGCCGCGGCGGCGCAGGCGCGGCGGGGGCGGAGCGGCGGAGGGAGGGAGAGGGCGAGGCGGCGGAGGGAGGUGGAGUAGCAGGAGGAGGAGGAGGGGGAGGGGGGCAGGAGGAGGAGGGAUAAGGUGGCCAUGGGGAUUAGGGUUUGGUGGUGGAGACGAGGUAGAACGAGAGGAGAGGAGGAGGAAGAAGGGGUUUUGGAUCGGGGAGAGAUGGUUGGGACUCGGUAUUGAGUGGUGACUGGUGAGUGUGGGGGUUGGUGGUGAGAGGUGAGAGCCGUAUGAGAUGCGGGCCUUUUCAAGGAGUUGGCGGGUACUGUUUUACAAUUUUUUCUUUUAUUUUUCAUUAUUAUUUUUUUAAGGUAAACAGUAUUAGAGGCCUCAUUAACUACGGGUUAUUCUUCAGGUUCAAAUUCCAUUUCUGCUAAAAAUAAAAUAGAGAAUACAGUUAAGUUUUCAUCACUAAUCUUAAAUUCUUUUUUAUGAAUGAGUUAUUUAGAUUUUAAACUAUGACUUAGUGUGAUAUUGAGGCCUAUCCGACGCUAUUAGAUAAAAUAAGAUUAGAAUAAAAAUAUAUAGGGAUAUACUUACUCCGUUCUCUGAUGGAAUCGCAGAAAAUAUAUUAUAAUCGACUCAUUGCGAUAUGCGAAACACAGACAAAAUAUUUUUCAUUAUGUUUUCUCACUUCAAGUAACACAAUUUUUCCGCAAUACUAAACAAAGCCUAUUAAUUUAUGACUAGCCAACUAAUUAUUUGGAUCGAGACCUUAAAAAUCAAAUAAGUAAAACACAUGGAAGAUAAUUGAAGUUUACCUGAAAUUUUUUUUUCUAACGUCUUAUGUAAGACAGCAAUAAUUCAGCGGGCCUAGUGCAUUUAUUUCCUUUUAAUACACAAAACAAAAAGGAAAAAAAAAAAACAAAUAGUUUCUAAAUUAAACUCGUCAACCGAAAACACAGAAGCCGGCAGAAUCUAAAAAGACGGUGUUGAACGAAUUCGGAAUUCGUUGCCGACUACUUAUUUAUACUCCACCACCAACAUAUGCGGCGACGACUUCGAUUCGGCUCCGAUCCCCUUUAAAUACGCCCUCCGCAUUCUCACUCUCGGCCCCCGCACCUAAACGCUACGAACGAGCCCCAGAGAGAGACUCUAGCGCUCCUCUCCCCUCUCCUCCCCCUUCACCCUUCUCCUUUUUCCCAUCCUCAUCGUUUCUCUCCUUCGCCCAUGGCGUCGCCCGCCUCCUCCACGAUCCAACGAGGCCAGGUACGUCCUCUCCCACGAUCAAAACCCUAACCCUAGAUCCCCUUCCCUCGCCCUGAUCGUUCCCUUUUUUAGGUCGAUCUCGUCGACUUCGUCGAUUGGAGCGGCGUCGAGUGCCUCAACCAGAGCACCAGCCACUCCGUUGCCAAUGCCUUGAAGCAGGUGAUCGCCAUCGCCAUCGCCCGAUCUUACCCCUCUUUCCUUGUUUCUUGAUCCGUUCUUUUUUGAGUUCCUUUUUUCUUUUUGAUCUCUUCGAUGUUAGGGUUAUAGGGAGGAUGAUGGGCUUCAUCUCGAGAGCGAGGCCGAUGAGCAGCUUUUGAUAUAUAUACCGUUCACUCAAGUGAUCAAGUUGCACUCGGUUGUCAUCAAGGGCCCCGAAGAGGAAGGUAAUGGUGUUUAAUUUUUGGAAUUCUUGUUUGCUUCUGUGCGCUGAUUCUACUUUGAAUGCUUUGAUCGUUUCUUGCUGCACGAUGAUUGGGUUUGUGGUAUCACUCGCAAAUAUUAGGCUGUUGUAUUAUGUAAUGUAUAAGGAUCACCGGUACAAGUAAUUAUUUAUUUGUUUAUUUAAUUUUCUUAAGCCAUUCGCGUUUUUAGGUAUUUAGAUAUAUGCCUUGUGCAUGUGCUGCCUUGCAUUGCAUUAUUGAGCUUUUGAUCUUUUCUACUUUCUGUUGCAUCUUUUUUGCUUCUUGAUUGCUUUAUCUGCAUGCUGUCAAAUUAGUUCAAGUCUAUUUAUGACCUCAAUAUGUUAUUUGGCAGGUCCAAGGACGGCUAAACUUUUUGCAAACAAAGAGCAUAUGGGCUUUAGGUAUGCUAUAUCUUAGAUUCAAGAGAUUCAAUUCACAAAAUUAGAACUCUUGAAGUUUUGGUUGUUUUGAGUACUGAUCGUUUAUUGACCAUGUAACAACUGUUGCAGUGAUGUCAAUGAUUAUCCGUCUAAUGACACAGUUGUUUUAUCCCCUGAGAAUUUGAAGGUAUUGUCAUCCUUCUAACUUCUUGAAAUUAAAAUUGAUCUUUGGCCUUUGCAACUUUUUGGAUGAAAAUUAUUGUUAUUAUUAUUCCAUUAUUAAUAUCUUUGUUGGGUUUAGGAAAGAUAGGGGUUGCCUCUGGGUGAAUAGUAGUUGAAUUUUGUCUUGAAACAUAAUAAUAGAUUGCUUAGUUGCAACUUCAUUUCAUUUGCAGGGGAAGCCUGUACCUGUGAAGUAUGUCAAAUUUCAAAAUGUUCAUAGGUAAGUUGAGUAUACAUUCUCCCCUUUUAAUUUUUUAGUAUGUGAUUGCAUUGCAUAAGUUGGUUAUUAAUUUGUUGGACUAAUCAUAUUAUAUCAGCUUGACAAUUUUUAUCGAGGACAACCAAGGCGGUGGCGACAUCUCUAAAGUUCAGAAAAUUGCCCUCUAUGGAACAACGUGAGUGUUAAUUGAUUAAUUUCUUAUCCUUUCAUUCUUCUGUAGCUUCUCUUCUUUAAAUUGAUCCACCGUCUCUAUUAAGCAUUUAAUCUCUACCAAACAGCAAAGAGUUGAAAGGUAUUUUAUAUGCAUCUCACUCAAAAAUUGCUAUAAAGUUGGAGAAUCUAACAUAAAUAAGAGUAUUAAUCUGGUCAUUCUUGAAAUCUCUAUGCUAUGACUGUAGUUCUUGGUAGCAUCUUUAAUUUUUGGUUUGACAUUUCUUGUUCAAGUAUUUCGACACAAUCAAGGGAACAUUUUCUGAAGAAAAGAAGCGUUUUUUUUGUGGCUAGUGUAUAUUCUUAGUCAGAUAAAUAAAUGUGAUAUUUACUAGUUUAUACUUAUGAUCCAAUCUAUGUGUAAGCUAAAGUAACUUGCAGGCGGAUGUAUAUGAAAACCAUAAAGCAUUUGUUAAACAUGAUUAAAAAUUAUCCAGAGAAUUUAUUUGGGUUCAAAUCUUACAUUCGAACUUACAGUGCAGCAGGCAAGAAAAUCUUUGCAAUCUAGAAUUUGGACAAUUUAGGUGGUGCAAUUUGAAACUAGAUAUAGAAAGGAACCAUAGAUUAGUCUUUUGAAGGUGUAAAACAGUUCAAGGUGAAUUUAAAGAUGCUUAAAUUCUUAGUUUUGUGUGAUAAUGCUUCUCUAGUGAAAUUCUUGCACUUACCUGUGGAUAAGACAAUUGGAAUUAUUAGUCUAAAAAAGAUAUAAUAUUAUAGUUCAAUAUCAAUUUUUUCUUAGAUUUUUUUUAAUUAUCCUCAUCAAAUCUUUCAUAGUUCACUGAUAGGAAAAGUGAUGGUUUAUCAUCAAUAAUUUAACUCUUAUAAAUAGCGAAUUUAUGUAAAUAUGGCACUGCACAACUCAUUAAUGAUGACUUGUCAUUUCUUUUGCUAAUGAAAUACUGAAGAUGUGAUGUGAACGUAUUGUUCACUCAUAGCUCAAGAGGAAAUAUGUGAAGUACUAGUAUCUAUGAAUUAUAACUAAGAGCAAUAUUCAUCACUUAGAAAUGAUUGAGUUAAUACAUUUUUCCAUAUCUUCUUAAUGGAAGAAAUGAGAAUUUAUCAUUAAUUAUUUACAAGAUGACUUACUCAGAUUAACUCUUAAAAAUACACAAUUAAUAUGAGUAUGGCAUUUUAUAAUAUGUCAGUCAUGAAUUGUCAUUCGCCUUAUUAAUGAAAUAUGAAAGAUGUGAUGUGAACGUGGUAUUUACUGACUCCUUAGUAAUGAAAUUAAACGUCCAUAGUACUACUUAUUCUCAUAAGGCUUCGUAUAUUUUAAAUAAUUUUCAAUACAUUUUAAUUAACCAACAAAAAUAAAAGAUAAAUGCACUAAUGAAAGAAGCCCAAAGGGAAACUGCAUGGCAUCAUCCAGAUGCCCUUCAUUAUAUCUUCUUGAAUUCCUUAUAACAGAUACAUUGCUGAUCAAAGUUGCCGAUUAUAGCUUAUAUCUAGGGCUGUUUAGAUUUGGUUUGUAUAAACUAUUUCUAUUAUAGUAUGGAAGUUCCAUACUUGGCUGGCCUGAUGACUCUUUGUAUUUUUUUCACUUGAGAAGGAAAAAAAAAAAAAGAAAAAAAAUUCUAUCUUCUUGAACUCCUUAUAACAAAUACAUUGCUGAACAGAGUUGCUGAUUAUAGCUAUAUCUAGGGCUGUGUAGAUUUGGUUUGUAUAAAGCUAUUGUUAUCAUGAAUUUCGCUUUUUGCAUUAUUGCAAUCUCCCAAAAAUUGUCACAAAUUGUUCAGCUUAUUUACUAAACAAACUCAAAAUUGUUCUAAUUUGGCACAAUCUGGGGAAUAUAAUCAUCUAAGUCAAUCUAUAAGCUGUGCAUCUCGUUGCAUGCGCUUGGUAGGCAUUGUGAUUUCAACCAAUGCUCACAACGGUCCCUUUGCUAUAAUCUGGAUUUUUAUUUGACUUUUGUCAUUGGUUUCAAAUCAUAAUGUAGAUCCUGAGGACUCUUACUUUCUUUUGUCUAAAUGAGAAAGAAAUCGGGUUUGCUAAACUUUUGUAGAUCAAUUGACUGACCUAGGUAUGACAGACCGUUAUUCUGUGUGAGAUUCUUUGGCUUCUCUGCUUUAGAAAUAGCACCAACAUUCUUUACUCAAGCUUUAUUUGCUAAUAAUUAAGUCAAAUAUUUGUUGGUGAUCACAGACAUAAGCAAGGAUUUUUUUCAAUUGUAAAUUACAGCAUUGGUCACUGACAUUUGGUGAGAUUUUAUUUAGGUUACCGAACUUUAAUUUGUUUUAAUCAGGAUAUCGAGCUUCAAUUUCAGUUUUGAUUGUCAUUACUCAAAUUUCUAAUUAAUUUCUAUGAUGGCGUUCCACUAUGGCAGCUAAUUUAGUCGUCAAGCUAGUGGUCCUCUGAUUGCUUUUUAGUGCUUAUUGUUUUAGUAUAUUCUAAUAAAGUAGUUUUCCUCAAUUUUCAGCUGAGUACAUGAGUGAUACCAAAGUAAUUAAAAUUAUGAUCCAACACCUCCGAUAUAAAUGUUAUCCACUCUAAUGCAUGUGGAUCAGGGAAAUUGUUUUUUCUGUUAAUCACAAACUGUAGAAGUGGAGCUGUCAUUUAUAAGUUGAAGAGGUAGGACUAAAUGAUGUGAGCCCUUCAAACGAAAUAAUAGAACUAGCUUAUGAUGUGUAGCAGACUGAAAAUUAUGCGGUGCUAACCUUACUUGCUUAGAGUCUGUCUGUGAUUCAAAACCUGAUGUUUAUUUGCAAUGGAGUAUACUUUAUGAUUCAUGAAAAGUGAAAUCCUUAGCCUUUUUAACAAGUCAAUUAGUUAAUUUUAUGUCUCCUGCUAUCACACCACAACAAUCUACAAGAAAAAUUUCCUGUACGUGGUCCCAGUGUAGUUUCUCAGGAUGCCACCCGAGAUAUUGCUAGACUCCACUAAUUUUGUUAGGAUAGUAUCUCCUUGGAGAGAAAUAACUAAAUUACUUGAAGGAAAAAUAACCCAACUAUUUAAUUAUGCUCUACCAACUAUUUAAUUAUGCUCUUUUGUGUUAUUUGGUUAUUUUUGUAAGGAAAAUGCAUCCUGUUCUUAGUGUUGUUCCUGAUAAGAUAUCUGUUUACUACAUUUUGGGUGUAUUUACUUUACGUCAGCUUAUGCUGAUUAAUACACUUUGGUUGGCAAAUAUGUUUAAUGUAUUACCAUGUCAUUCAUAAUACUGGUGAUGAUCUUUGAGACGAGAUACUAUUUUGGAAGUACUGGAGGUGCCAUUGAUUUGUCAUAACUUGCCCGGUCUUCAUGCUGUUGUUAUGUCAUCUUGACAUUAUAAUUGUCUUAUGCAUACUUCUAUUCGUUGGUGAUACUAUUUUGGAAGUUCUGUGAUAUGUAUCACUUUAGUUUCUUGAUAUUUAUGUUGUAGCAAUGGGUAAAUAUACAUGUUUGGUCCUCCUAUGGGGCACAUCACAUUUUGGUCCUCAAACUUUACCUAGUUGCAAUUUUUAAGUUUGAACUUCUGUAAAUUGUUGCAAUUAAGUCCUACAACUCAAUCUAUUUGGUUAAACAUUGAUGAAUGGUUGAUGUACAAGUGAUGUAGCAGUUUAGUUAUUAUCACAUCAUUAAUCAUAACACUGCUAUAUUAUUUUCUCCUUAGCGAUAUAUCAAUAUUUAGCCAACUAAAUUGGGUUAUAGAACUUAAUUAUAAUAAUUUAAAAAAUUUGAGCAAGAAAUUAUAACAAAUUAAAGUUUAAAGAUCAAAAUAUCAUGUGUCUUCUAAUUUGAGGACCAAAAGUGUUAUUUACUCUAUAGCAAUUUAUUUAGCUAGUUAAGUAGGAGUGUAGGACUUUUUUUUCCGCAUCUUUGAUAGGAUUUUUUUUUUUGACUCCUUCGAAGGAAAGCCCGUAGGCUAUCUAAGAUGGGACAUCACUUGUAGAUGGCCAUUAGUCUUCAAUAUCUUUGUACAGUUGUGAAAUCUUUAGUUAAUGGUCCAGCCUUUUUUUUCGCAGCAUUUGAAGUCUUUCCUUCCAGUCUUACCUCCCAGUUUUUGCCUCUUUGGCUCGGCUUCCAGUUUUGCAUUUAAUUAUAGUCAUCUAUAGAGGGUCCAUCUAUGGUGCUCAUAAGAGGGCCUGAAUAGUGCGUAUUUUAGACUUUUUACCAUUUAGAUCAGAAUAUUAUUCCAUCUACCCUCACUGCAUUCUAAAGCAUUGUAGACUAAAAAUGUUGUGAGAACACACUAUUCAUGUCGUCACAAAAGUAUAGCAGCAUUGUCAUAUAUAUAUAUAUAUAUAGAGAGAGAGAGAGAGAGAGAGAGAGAGAGAGAGAGAGAGAGUGCCUCGGCUAUUAUACUUUUAUGCAUACAAUCACUUUUGUACUCUUAAGUCAUUUUCAAUGGUAGAUUUUUCGAAUCUAUGAUCCACAUUGUUAAACAUAAUUUGAAAACACGUAAACAUUCUAAAAAUUGAAUUUCAUAAUUGUUGGACGUCAGAUUCCUUAUGAUCAAAAGUCCUCAAAAUUGAUAAUUUUAACGGUCGAUAUGGGACGUUUUCUAGUUUAAUUGUGUGGAAAAAUUGGAAUUGGUUGAAUUUUUAAUUAAAAAUUAUAGUCAUUAUUUAAUCAAGAUCAAUAACUUCGAUCUUGAAUUGAAGAACUCAACUCUAUUUUGAGGAGGUCAUUUCAUUUUCACCGUUAAUUUAUACCUAUUUGAUUGUCUAUUAUGAUUUUGAAAAAUUACAAAAUUUGGUUUCUAAGCAUUCAAAUACUCUAAAUUAUAUUUAACGGUAUGGAUCGUUAGUUCGAAAGAUCAAUUAUCGAAAAUAACUUAUGAGUGUGAAAACUUUCGCACUCAUAAGAGUAUAUUAAUAUUCCUCUCUUUCUCUCUCUCUAUAAUUAUAUAUAUGUGUGUGUGUAGAGUUGAGUUGGAAUAUUAUUAGUAGCAAACAUGUUUCGUUGCCACCCAUUUGUUUUCGAUGAUGGAGCUUCGGAAUCGACGAUCGGCACCGCUCAAUAUGAUCUAUACCACUUGAAGCAUCUAGAAAUCAAAUUUCAUAUUUUUUCAAUAUUAUUCUCUUGUUCAUCAAGUGAACACAAAAUUGAAUGGCUGAAAAUAAAUAUUUGUUAAAAAUUGAUGAUAUGAGUCUUGUAAGUAAGAUUAAGAGUAUAAAUCUUAUUUUAAAUAGUUUAAAGAAUUUUUUUAUCAAAAUUCAAUUGAUUUGGAUAUCUUUACGUUGUUAAACGAGAAAGCGUCUCAUAUUGACUAUUAAAAUUAUAAAUUUUGAAACUCUUUGGUCAUUAGGCCAACGAUGUCAAAAAGAUUUGAACUUUAGUUUCUAGAUACUUCAAAUGGUAUAGAUUAUGUUCAACGAUACUGAUCGUCGAUUUGGAGACUCCAUCAUCGAAAACAAAUGGAUGACAAUGGUGUUCGUUUGCUACUAAUAACAUUUUAGCUCAACUAUAUAUAUAUAUAUAGAGAGAGAGAGAGAGAGUUCGACUACUAUACUAUCGAUAACACCAAGUAUUUGGUGCUAUCAAGUUUUCCGCCGUCAGAUCUAUCCCUUUGACCAUUUUCACAUGGUAGAUCAUACUAUCCAACAAACCACCCAUUUAACCCCAGUGAACUAUUAUAAUCCUAACCAGACAUCCCUUCCUUCAAGAGUUGAGAAUCUAAUAGUGCCAAUGACUUGGUGCUAUUAAUAGUAUAGUAGCCUAGUUUUCUCUUUAUAUAUAGAACUAGUCACCAAGUUAAUGGUGCUAUUAGAUUUUCGGCCAUUGGAGGAAGGGAUGUACGGUUAGGAUGAUAGUAGUCCUCUAGAGUUGAGUGGAAAGUUGAAUAGUAUGAUUUAACUGGUGGAAAUGGUCAAAGGGGUAGAUUUAAUGGUGGAAAACUCGAUAGUACCAAGCGCUUGGUACUAUCGAUAGUAUAGUAGCCGAAAUAUAUAUAUAUAUAUAUAUAUUAAAUAUAUUAUAUAUUAUAUAUAUAUAUAGAGAAGAGAGAGCGGAGAGAGAGAGGGAGGUAGGAGGGAGAGAGUGAGAAUGAGUGAGAGAGAUGGCUGAGAGGAGAGGAGAGUCGGGGGGAGGGAGAAGCUUUGUUAUUUUUUAUGAUAAAUCUUUUAAAUCGACUAUCUGUACCAUUGAGCAUGAUCAACACCAUUUAAAGUAUCUAGAAAUCGAAUCUCAUUCUUUUACGAUAUUAUUCUUUUGUACAUCAAGUGAAAAUAAAAAAUUGAAUGGUUGAAAAUGUGUAUCCUUCAAAAAGUGAUAAUAGAAUUCUUAUCUUCAAUAUCAAGGGUUUAAAUAGCUAUGGAUUCUGCUGCAGUACUUUGCUUUUUCUAGCAAAAAUUUAAUUGCUUUGGAUUCUACUGCAGUACUUUGCUUUUUCUAAAUAUACUAUUUAAAUAGCACUUUGUCGAACAUUAUUAUAUACUAUAUGCUUCAACAAGGGCUUGUUUGUUUGGAUGGAAGUGGAGAGUGGUGAAGCCGUUUUCGGCCGUAAAUAGUCACUUCAACUGUUUGAUUUGCUGUAAUAAAGAUACAGUCGAAAUUCGAAAUAUUUAAAACAUCGUAGUUGACUUCGGCCUAUUCUGAGCCGAAGUCAAUUACAGUUAAAAGAGGUAAAGAAAAAAUAUAAUAAAAUAAUAUAAUGGGUAGUACUAGUUAUAUUUAAAUAUAUUUGAUUGUGGUACUAAUUAUUUUUUUAUUUAGUUUAAAAAUUGAUUAGUUUAGUAUUAAUAUUUUUUUACUCUAUGAUUUUGUUGUAUUAUUAUAAUUUAUCUAUAUAAAUAAUAAUUUAGUUGUUUUAGACUAUGUUUUCUAUUUAUAUAGUGUGGUCAUAAACUAGUAAGAGCUAGAUCACAUAGACCUAGAAGAAUGACAUAUCCUCCCACUGAUCCCGUGAUGUGAGGAACAUUGUUCCUGUCAUAGCAGUCGUCAUCAUUUCUCUCUCUCUGUCUCUCUCUCUCUCUCAGAGAUAAGACUUGAAAUGAUAAGUCCCUGCUCAAAUUGCUUCCAUCUGAAUAAAUAAAUACCAGAGCUUUGACCUGCACAUUCUCACCUGCAUUGCUUAUCUUGUCCUACUUGCAGGGUGGACACGACAAACAUGAAGGAUCUCAAGAAGAUAGAGGAGCACUAACUCGCCCUAACCAUCCCGUAUCCGACCAUAUUUCAUGUGUACAAGAAGAGGAGGGUUUGGAUCUGGUAAGUUACAUGACCAGUGUAAACCAAUAGACCGAUACAAUACAACAUGUUUACUUGCAUAAGAUUAUCAAUUAAAAUUCUGUUGUCACACUAUGCUCGUUGUACUGCUUUACUAUUUAAUCGACUCCAAUUUUUGUUGAGGUUUAGCACACGGUUACAUCAUUUAUUUUAAUUAUUUUGUUUUGCGGGUCACGAUUUUACGCAAUGGUGUGGGGGCUACUCUUAAUACUAAUUGGAUUCCUCCAUUAUUAUGAUGUGAUCUCCUCUACUACUACUACUGUAGUAGUACUACGACCCCUAUAACAACUACUAAUACUAUUAGCUUUUUCUCCCUUUUUCUGGCUCUUUUUUAUCGAAGGACACCUCCUCAGCUUUGCUUUGCCUUUCUCGGAUUUUGCAACGGCCCUUUGUUCCCUCCUCCAGUGAAAAAGGGCUGUUGAACGGCACGGUUCUGUACCAUAAGACUGCUAGUUGUCUUUAAAAGAUAUAUAAAAUCCCCAUAUAAAUUCCCUCACCUUUGUUUUCCCACUCCCUGCUCCUCUUUUUUUUCCCCUGUUAUUUAGCAUCUUUUGUAGACUUUGGAUCUAGAGCUUUAGUUGUGAAAACUAGUUAGUUUGGUCUCUUCUGAUAUUAGUUUAGAUUUAGGAUAAUAGCAACUUAGUUGGUGGAUUAAUUUUGUAGGGUAAAUGGGUCCAUAAUAACAUGCAUGGUGUAUUUGAUGUGUACUGAAAUGGUAUGCUGGGCCAUGUAGGAAUUAAUAUUUGCUAGCCCACUAGACACACCAGCUAUGUUUGAUGGCCACAAGCCUCCUGUAUUAAAUAAGGGGGAUGGGUGCACACAUGUGCAGGGUUUUGUGUUUGUGGUGUGAUUUGGUGGUGGUGGUGGUGGUGGUGGCCCCUACAAAAUAGGAUCUGGAUGCUCUUAAUUCAUCUCCGUGUGGCUAUAUUUUUGUUUGAUCUUUAAAGCUAUCUGCGUGUGGUCUCUCUAUUGUAGGUUGGAGUGUGUUUGUCUCUUUUAAUAAGUUGGCAAUUACAGCUGUCUUUGCUCUGCAUUAUGAUGUAUUGGCUCUUUUGCUAACUUAAAGAUGAUAAUCCUGUUGCACCUGUCAUCCUCGUAUAAUUCGAAUGUAGAGCAUUAACAUGGUAUGUGUACACCGACAGAGACUUUGACGCACAAUACAAAUGAAAUGAUCGAUUGUUAACAAUCAACCUCCCACAACACCACAAGUUAGGCUACGGUAACAGUAGUGGAUCUAUAGUUUUGCUGUAAUGGCUACUGUAAUACCAGGUAACAGUAGUGGAUCUAUAGUUUUGCUGUAAUGUCUACUGUAAUACCAGUGGACAAUUGGUACCGCCAUUCUAUCAGUACUAGAAUGAACAGCUAACUAAAUUCUAUGGUCCUAGAGUUGUCCCCCUCCGCAACCUAUUUACCUCAUUGUAACUAGCUUUUGACGGGAUCCCAAAAUUGAUAAUUCCUGGUCAUGCCAUGCUCGUGAUUCUCAACAGUACUGUUUUGAAGAGACCCUGAAUAGUUCUAAAUCAUUGUGUGAAGUAAGAUUUCUAUCUCUCUCUCUCUCUCUCACUCAGUCGUUCUAUGGGGUUUGUUAGGGGCUUUGUUGUAUAGUUUAGCGUUGUCAGAUAAAGUUUUGUGCAUGCAGUGCCACUAGCGUAACCAUUGUAUUAGUAGUUUCUAGCAAUUUAUUUCGCUUUGGUCUUGUUUAGCGUCGGCGCUGGUUUUUACUCAUUUUACAUAAUUUAAUAUAUUGAUGGAAAAAAUCCUCUCUUUUUUUUUGUCAUAAUUAGUUAGCUUGUAAUACACUGGCAAAAUGAUGGAUGAUAGUUUAUUUAAAAAAUAUUUUUAAAUUUUUAUUUUUUUCUUGUUAAAUAAAUACUUUGGAUGUAUGGAUUAUAAUUAAUACAUCAUACUUUUCUACACUAUUUUAUAUAUAAUAUAAAGACUUUAUUGGAAAAAAAAAAAAAGAAAAACGGUAAUAAUACCAAACUCGGCACUCUGCUUUUAUGGCUUAAAUUUUGUUUUUCUUCUUCCUCGUCUUCUUUGUUGCACCAUAAGCGUAAACAAAAGAAAAGCGUAAUUUGUAUAUUUAUAUUUUAUAAAUCUUAGUGUUCACAAAAUUUUUUAAUCUUCGAGUGAAAAAGGGAAAAAAAAAAGAAGAAAAAAGACAGGUCAAAAAUAAGAAUCCUUAGAUUAAUAGUGUGUAAUAUAUAUAUAGAGUUGAGCUAGAAUACUCUCGAUAGUAAACGGAGUAUUUUACUAUCGAGUUGUUUUCGAUGAUAGAGCUUUCAAAUUGACGAUCGGCUCCGUUAAAUAUGAUCUAAAUCAUUUAAACUACCUAGAAAUCAAAUUUUACGCACUUUCGAUAUUGUUCUUUUAUCCAUCUAGUGAACAGAAAAUGAAUGGUUGAAAAUGAAUAUUCUUUAAAAAAUGAUGAUAGGAGUCUUGUAAUCAAGAUCAAGAGUAUAGAUCUUGUUUUAAAUAGUUUAAAGAAUUUUCUAACAAAAAUACAAUGAUUUGGAUAUCUUAUACACCGUUUAAACGAAAAAACGUCUCUUAUCCACCAUUAAAUAUUACAAUUUGAAACCCUUUGAUCAUUAGCACAAAUGAUGCGAAAAGAUUUGAAAUUUGAUUUCUAAACACUUUAAGUGGUAUAGAUCAUGUUCAACGGAGCCGAUCGUCAAUUGGAAGCUCUAUCAUCGAAAACAGCUCGAUAGUAAAAUGCCCCGUUACUAUAGAGAGUAUUCUAGCUCAACUCUAUAUAUAUAUAUAUAUAUAUAUAUAUAUAUAUAUAUAUUAUAUAUAUAUAUAUAUAUAUCAUUAAGGCCCCGUUUGGUUUGGGGAGAGUUAUCCCCGCUUUUCCGCCAAACGGGCGUGAAAUUUGGUCGGAAUAUUUUAUCCCCGUCAAACCUUGCUAUUUUCGAUUAUUCCGGAAUAGCCAGGGAUUUGCUAUUCCACCAUUUUGGUGGAAUAGAACUAUUCCAAUGCUUAAUUUCAAAUUUAAUAAAAAUUAUAAAUUGAAUUAAAACUAAAUUAUAUAAAUAUAGUAUGUUAUAUAUUAUAAUACAUUAUUUUUGUUAUAAAUUAUUAAUUGUACUAUAUUAAUACAUAUUAUUUAUAUUAAAUAUUAUAAUAAAAUUUAUAUAAUAAUUAUAUUUAAAUAUUAUAAUAAAUUCUUUUUAUUAAAUUUAAGUUUAAAUAGAAUUUUAAAAAUUUAUAAAUUAUUAUAAUAAAUAGUUUUUUAUUAAUUGUUCCCAUCCUAUUCUUAUUUAAAAAUUUAAAAAUUAAAAUUAAAAUUUUAAAAUUUAUAUAUAUAAUAACAUUAUUUUAUUAUAAAAUUAUUAAUGUACUAUAUUAAUAAUUAUUAUUAUAUUUAAAUUAUUAUAAUAAAAUUUAUAGUAAAUUAUAUUUAAAUAUUAUAAUAAAUCUUUUUAUUAAAUUUAAGUUUAAGUAGAAUUUUAAAAAAUUUACAAAUUUAUUAUAAUAAAUUAUUUUUAUUAAUUGUUCCACCCCUAUUCUUAUUUUAAAAUUUUAAAAUUUAAAAUUUUAAAAUUUAUAAUUUAUAAUCUCAAAAAUAAAGUUUAUAAUUUUAAAUUUUAAAUUUUUAUAUUUAAAUUUGAAAUUUAAAAUUUGAUAUUUUAUAUUUUUCAAAUUUAAAUUUGAUAUUAAAUUUAAAGUUUGAAAUUUAAAAUUUAAAAUUUUGAAUUUAAAAUUUGAGAUUUUAAAUUUCAAAUUUGAAAAUUUAAAAGUUAAAAUUUUAAACUUAAAAAUAUAUAUUUAAAAAUUUAAAUUUAAAUAUAAUAAGAGGAUAAUAUGAUUAUUUUUUAUUUAUAAAACCCAUUAUCUUUCUUAUUCCAUCUUACGUAACCAAACGCUAUUUUUUUUAUUCCCAGGAAUAAACUAAUUUUUAUUCAAACGCAAAAUUGAUCUAAUCCCCGCUUAUACCUUAAUUUAUACUUAUUUUUAGAAUAGUCAUUUUUUGCUUAUCCUCGAACCAAAUGAUACAUAAGUUUAGAAAUGCCCGGCUUAAAAAAAAAAAAAGGAAAAAAAAAAAAAGACUCUGAAUAGUGCGCGAUGGGAAUCGUACUAGGGGCAAGGACAACUGUGAACUCUUUUCUUUACUCCUUUUUUAUUUAUCCUCUCUUGUUUUUUUACUCCCCUUUCUUUCUUUCUUGCUUUCUUUCUUUCUUUUCCGUGCAUGUUGAUUUGGUGGAAAUCGAGGCGGUUUGUAGGGGAUCCGAGGCCGCAGCUUUCUUCGGCAUAGGGUGCAGGAUUCGAUUGUCGGUUGGCCACACACGUAGCGGUUCGUUUUACCAUCCUCACACUUUUAUCGUGGCAUCUGCUUUUCUUUUUUUUUUUCUUUUUUUUCUUUUUUUUUUUUGGAUAAACUUCAAAUACCAUCCGAUUUCGCAUUUUCUUAUUUCAGUACUCUAUAAUUUAAAGUAUAUCAAAUUAGUGUGCUAUAAUUUUAUUUUUAUCUUUUUUUCAACUUUUUCAUUAAUAUUUUGUUAAAUUAUAUACAAAAAAAUUUCAGAUACCAUAUCUAGAUUUAUCAAAUAUUCACUUUAGUACCCUUUAGUUUUAACUUUGUCACUGAUUUAACGGAAAAAAUUAAUAAAAUCGAUAAUAAAAAAAUAAAAAUAAAGUUACAGGAUGCUAAAUUGAUACAUUUUAAAUCAUAUGGUACUAAAGCGAGAAAGUAUGAAACCACAUGGGUGGUAUGUAUUUAUUUAUUUAUUUUUUACCUUCUUCGGAGGCAGUAAGUAAAUCUAUUUUACCAGUCCCCCAUUCAUGGGAAAAAGCAAGCAACCAAAGAAAAAAAAACAAAAAAAAAGGUGUUUUCACUUUUCACUUCAUAUAAAUAUAUUAUUAUUUAAAAAAAAUUAUUUUGAUCUUAUCAUUCUACCAAACAAUUUAAUUAAAGCCUCCUAUCUCAGCAUGAUGCAGACUAUUGCAGAAUAAUGUGGGCACAAGGAAAAAGUCAUGUAUUUAUGAUGAUUUCUUUUGUUGCUGUUCAUUUCCCAUUUAACCUGUAAAUCACUAUAUCUGAUGUAAAGAACCAAAAGUGGGUUAAAAAUUUUUUUUUUUAAAAAAAGAGAUACUUUUGAUGUACUGGGAUAUGAAUCUUUCCAACCAUUAAAUGACUAUUGCAAAAAAAAAUAAAUAAAUAAAUAAAUAAAAGAGGAAAAUGGCAAAUGGGUUAAAUCCUUUACGUAAUUGUUACAUUCUAUUAAACUUGCACUUUCUUUUAUAUAUCUGAACCACAAUCUCUUUUAUGUUCUCCUCUUUUCGUAUCUUCUCAUUAGAAAUCUCAGCGGUUGGUCGACCGCAUAUUUUUAUUUUUUAAUAAAAAGGUUAUUCCUCUCAUAGUAGGUCAACAACCAAAUUUGAUCUUCACACUCUUUCGAACCAACUGUAAGGAUAAUCAUCUGCAAGAAUGUUUGGAGUUAGGUGUGUGAGGUUGAGACUUGGAUUAAUCAUCUCAUAAUCUCCCUCCCUCACCACCACCACCACCACCAUCAACAUAUCAACUUUUGUCUUCAUCAUCAGUAUGUUAUCGGGUCAGUGGAACAACUUAGGAUAUAUAGCAAGAAUUUAAGUGCCAUGUCAUGGAGUCAUACCGGAAACUUACAAGCACGGCACAGCACGAUGCAUGCCGAGUCGUGCCGAUGCGUGUCGGUCAAAAAAAUUCUUAUGUGCCGACACAUAAUAACAUAAAAUAUUUAUUUUCGUUGCAACAAAAUAUUCACUAUUUAUUAUGUCUUUUUAUCACAUCUUUUGAAUUUUAUUGAGAAAAUUACUUAACUAAUUUAAAGAAUAGGGAAUUUUGAGUUGUGCAAUCGGCACGAAAUCUGUAUCGUGCUGCUAUCUUAUUUGCACGAUACGGCGCGAUAGAUACGGCCCGUGCCGACGGUCACUUAAAACCUUGAUAUAUAGAUUAGUUGCUUUUCCAAAGGAUUGCUAACCUAAGGUUGUUAACCUGCAGAGUAAACUGUUACUAAUUGGUGUUAAGCAACUGCCUAAUAAGCUUUGACAGAGUGAACUUUCCUAUCUUUACUACUUUAGUGUUGGUGCCAUCAAAAUCAAACCAAAAAGUAAUCAGAGGGGUGUGUCAACUGUUGAGUUGGUGGAGUCAUUGGGAGUUGAUUGCUUGAGUAAUUUAGGUACACUAUGAUGAGUCUCACCUAAGAUAUGACCAAAGUGCAUCAGAUUUAUUAGAAGGAAAUAUCAUGCAAGUUUUGUAAGGUUAUUUCUGCUUCACACUUAAUAUAAAAAUAUUUAGGAUUAAUUUUAUAUAGGUCCCUGCAAAUAUAGUAAAUUACAAAUAUAUCCCUACAAAGUUGUAAGUCCCGAUGUUUUCAAAUAUGUUCCUACCGUUAGAAUUCGUCAAAAAAAUUUAGUUAACCAUAGGUUAAAUACUUAAUCUUGGUUAGUUAGUGAGGUGAAUUGACUUUUUUAUCCUUCUUCAGUUAACAAUUGGAAUUUUUGGAAGGAUAUAUUUGUGAUGGCAAAAAGAUCAUUUCAUUUAUAAAAUAGACAUUAUGUCAACGAUAACAAACUAGAGGAACAUAUUUGAAAAUAUUAUGAAAUUUGCAGGAAUAACAUAUGAAAGUUGAACUUUAUAGAGAUAUAUUUACAAUUCUCUAUAUUUUCAGGAAUCUAUAUGAAAUUAACCGAAAUAUUUAUGAGGAAAAAAUUACUGCUAAUAGUGGAAAUAUAAAUAGAGCCAAACCAGAUCUGUAAUUAAACAAUUUAAGCUUAUUCUUAACGAGAUCUCUUCGAAAGAAAUGAUAUGCUACUAUCGAGUUCAUCUGAGGGACGAGUCUUGAGUCUGGGAUAAGGUAAUAUAUUUUCAAGAGGGAGAGUGAGCCUACGUACUGUGGCCAAAUAGAAAACAUAAGUUUGCGCAUGCUAAUGAGUGCUUAAUUUCUUAAGGCACAAAUGAUAUUGUUUUUUACAUGAUAUAAUCCCAGCCUAAGCACACACAUGUACACCACCCUACGCAUGCUGAGAGAGAAAAGAGGUUUUAACCUUUCUUUCUUUCUUUCACAUAAUACAGUUUGGAGGAGUGCACAAACUUUGAGAGGGAGAGACAGCCUCUGCAUCCCUCUCUUUCCCACCUGACCUGCCCACACUAAAAAAAAAAAGGAAUUUUCUGCCAUCACCACUCAUCAUCAAAAUUCCCCUCCCAUCAUGGAGAAAGGGAUUGCAGCCCAACCCUCACUAAUCCUCCAGCCACAUGUGGUGAAGGAUGAAAUGAAAUUUGAGGCUGGUUCAAGAGCCCUACUUUAUAAAAGCUCAAAAAACCUAUUGAACAAUAUACUUCAUUGCAGUAAGACCAGUCAGAUUCUUAGUAUCUGUUUGGCGUGGCUUUCAAAAUAAGUUCUAUAUAUUAGUUCACCAUCUUACAAUAAGACUAGUUAGAUCUUAUAGUAUUUGUCUAGCAUGGUUUUCAAAAUGAGUUUUAUAUUCCAAUUCUUCACCUUACAGCAAGACCAGUUAGAUCCAUAGUUUCUCUUUAGCGUGGGCCUUCGAAACAAGUUCUGUAUUGCAAGUAGUAGUUAGGUUUUUGAAACUUCUUGUUCUGCUGCUGCGAUAGAAUUCUAAUGAAAAAUACUACGAGGAUUUGAAAUAACACUUCUACAGAGGUUCUAAAUAACUCAUGUCCCAUAUCACAAUCUACAGGAGUGGCCUAUUUUGAGCUCAACUUUGGAGCCUUGAUUUGAAAUGCUGUAGUGCUAUGGGGGAUUUGAUGUUCCAGCUUAGAGUCUUCUCAGUCCAAGCUUUUGGUGAGCUUGAGUUAAUGGGUCUUAUCCAAUUUGGUGGUAGUGGCAUAGUGGGUUAUCUUAAGGGCAUCAGGUAACAACUUUUGCUAGUGUUGUUGCCACUACUGUGAUCACAACUCCCACAAAUCUAACCUCCUAGCUCUUAAUGUCUGCGUCAAUCUUGAUCCGAGCCCAUGGGGGGUCUCGAUCGAAAAUGACUCGUCAUGCAUGCAAGCUGUGUUCAGGCCAAAGUAGUUUGAAUCGUCAACAAGGUGAGUUCGGUUCCGGUUGAGGUUCUUUGACCUGAUAAGUCGUGCCACCUGAUCCGUCUUUCCUUCGCUUUAGCCAGUUUUAACGAGCCAGUCAUAUCGAAAUCAAACUUAACUCUUGAUACAAACUAACCGACCGUCCCUAGAGCAAGUGGCAAAGGACUUGGUGGUUGGUACCCAAGACCUAAAUUCGAAUCCUAGUUGAUUCACAUUUCCAGCAAAGUUUAUUUCUAAAUGAAAUAAAUGAAGUGGGUAGUAUGCUAUCUUUCUCUCAAAAAAACUCUUGAUACAAAUCAUAAGCAUAUGAACCUGAUGAACCAGAUCGCUGUAUAACAUAACUUUUGCCCAGUAAAGUCCAAAAAAAAAAAGUGCUAGAACAUACAAAUCUACAAAACAAACUAAACAUUCAAUUGGGAUGUUUAAAUUUGACCAUGUGGACCCAUUGUAAGUGACAUCUCACUUAGCCAUUUCCAUUGUAUUCAAGUAGUCAAAGAGUGGUCAAGAGUGUAGUAGCCCCUUUGUGAUUGUCUCACAAGGGAAAUUGCUCUGGCCCCACAAACAUUCUUCCGUACACAUGAUCUCAAUUAUUUUUUCCAAAAAAAAAAACUAGAAUAUUUUUUUAUAUAUAAUUUUGUUCAUAUUUUGAAGUGUAGGUCCCAAACCCUAAGAAUUGGCAGGUUCAUGAUUAUAUCCAGAUGCACUUGUCUCCCUCACACUUCCCUUAUCUUUCCCUUUCACACACCCCUCUCUCUUUCUCUCUCUCAUCACCCUCACUUUACCUCACCAUCUUAUAUUGAUUACUUAUUAUUGUUAAGUGUGAUACUUAAGGGGAUCAUCACUUUUUUUUUCUUUUUGGAUCUACUUUAUUUUGGGUCUAUAAGAAUAGAUAUAAAGAAUGGAUUAGGGAGAGGAGUGAGCUCUCUUGGGAUUAGAUAACAUGAGAGGGGAUUCGCAAAAGAAACCCAAUUUUAUUUUUUAAAAAAAGGUUUCUAUGCAGUUUGAUCAUACAUAUUUUCAAAGAAAAUUUGUUAUGCUAAAGAAGAGUCGGAUUCAUAUCUAACUUUAAUGACAGCUGAUUAGAUUCAUUAAAUCUGAUCAAUUUUAGUUAGUGUAGUGUGAUCAAAUUAAAUAUAUCUUUUCUUAAUAUCAAGAUCAUUUCUGUUUAUAUACUACUCAUUGUGUAGUCGAGAACAUAACUGCUAUAAAUGCAGACUUCUUUUUGAGAUAUUCAGAAGGAACAAGUCCGUUACCAUUAGUUUCAUUUCCCUAAUAAGAUAAAAUUAUUACGCAACAGAAGAAGAACAUCAUUUAGUCUUAGAAAAAGGAUAAAAGGACUUGUUAUUAGUAAUUUACAUACAAGAUAUAUAGUGCAAAACCCUCAAAGAGAUCUCAUCUAUGAACAACAAGGGAGAGACACAAUGAGAAGAGCAAUGACAUCAUUAAUGUGUGGUGCAAAGCAAAUAAGACAAUACAAUUACAAUUAGGGCUUUUGCUUUUGCUCUGAACAAUAACUGCUUAUUACACAAGCUGCUGAGGAUUUUGCAGUGAGGCAAAUUUGUACCCUUUCUAAGAGAUUCUUUGUUUGUCCUUGAGCCCAAUUUAGCCGCUAAAGUUACCAACUUUGAAAAUCCAUUUCCACAUGAGGUCCACUGCUUGUGUAUAAUAAUGAUUGUUACAGCUCAGUUGUGGUCUCACAGGUGUAAAGAUCAAAAACCCUAGACACACACAAAUACACACCAUGGAUUGAAGUGAAGGAAUUCAUUUAGAACUAUUUGUCGUUCCCAGUUCGAAUCCUAUUUGAGGCGGAAAAUAAAAUGCGUGUGUGUAGUUUACAGGCAUCAUCAAAGAAGAACGAAAAAAAAAAAAAAAAAGAGUCACGAACAAACUCACGGUAUUGCGUAUUUACAGCUUUCUGUUCUAUGGCUUAUUUUAGUACACUCUUCAAAUAUUUAUCCGAAAAAAAUCAGUUGUUUAUUAUUAAUACCACAUCCCUUUAAUUCGAUUUUAUAGAAUAGCUUCGUAAACAAAAUACGAAUUCAACUAAACAUCACCUUCAAUUCGAUUUUAUACAUAAAUAUAUACAUGCUGGAGUUGCAUUAUCUGAAGUGGCUUCACAAAUGGAAUAAGAGAAACAUAUACAGAAACUAAGAAGCAUAUGAAUUUUUUUUUUUUUAAUUGUUUUUUUGAAGUUAAAAACAUAUGAGCUCAAAUAGCAGGAUCUGCCCUAAGCAGUUGGGUGGGGGUGGAGCCCAGACAGGCGGCACCGUCACCAAAGCCACUCUGUCAUUGCUGCUGGCAAUUCCGAGCCUGCUGUUUGACUGUACAAUGUGUCCCAAAAAAUUCUUCUUCCUUAUCUUAUCUUAUAGUCGACUGGUCGGAUCGUUAUAAUUUGAGAUGCAUACAGUUAAAGAUACAGUGAAAAUAUCUUUAUUUAAUUUUUUUUGGUCGUAUAUUAUCGACCGUGAUUGAAUUAGAAUUUUUUUUUUUUUGCCUUCUCGUAGUUGAAAGUUGCGUUCACUUCAUUUAUUACCUUAUCUGUUGUAUGUUAAAAUUAUUCUUGUGAAAAAAAAAUAAAAAUUGAUUAUAGUGGGUGGGUUAAGUUAUCCCUCAUUGAAAGUUGCUAAAUUACAUUUCUGAUUCUCAAAUUGUAAGGUGCGUGACGCUUUCGUUUUUCAAACUAUAACUUAUUGUAAUUUGUGGCUCGAACAUUUUAGAUUGUUGCAAUCAAUUUCCACCGUUCAAUUUAGCUGAUUAAAUUCUGAUGUGGCGGUGAGGUGGGAUCUCAAUUAUUAUUUCAUCAUCAAUUACAAUACUAUUACAUUAACAGCAUGUUAUUAUUCAGCAGACUAAAUUGUAUUUGUAGGAGUUAAUUAUGACAACUUAGAAAGUUUGAGAUAGAAACUAUAAUUAGUUAAUUUUUGAGGAUGAAAUUGUCAUACGCCUCACUCUUUGGGGACUAAUUAAUGUGUAAUUUAGACCUUUCAAAAUUAUUCUCUUUAGACCUUUCAAAAUUAUUCUCUCCAACUGCAUCUCGUACUAUCUAUACAUCUAUACAUAUAUUUUAUAUACAUUAUUUUUCAUAAACUUUUAACACAUGGCAGCACUAUAGUCUCUCAUUUUUAAAAUUUCUACUCUGCAAUUAUUGCGACCGUUCGCCUUUCCGUAACGUCUCCCUCUUCGGCUUUCUGUUAAAUUAAUUCUUUCUCUGUAAUGUCUGUCUCUUUGUCUUCCUAUCUCAUUAAUUCCUUUUUCAUAACAUUUGCUUCUUCGACUUUCCAUUUUAUUAAUUCAUUCUCUGUAACGUCAUUGCUUCGACUUCCUGCUUCGUUAGUUUCUAUUUUCUAAGAAGCAUUGCCCGAGAGCCUGUGGGCACGGUAUACGACGUCCUCGACAACGACCUUACCUACUACGUCCGCUCCAAUCUCAAACACAGUAGGCACGCUGCCCUCGCCCUCACAGUCAACAUCGGGUGAAUCGAAUUCUAACCCUAGCCCCUAAUUCUCCUCCCUCGAUCUUGACCACUUAUAUUUGUAAUGUAUAGUUAUAGAAAGAGUGUGUAUCCCUUUCCUUUGAUGGCCUCGAAGAACGAGAAGUCUCGGCUAAGAUAUGAACUUGCUGAAAAGGGGUUGAAGGUACUGUGAUAUUUCACGAAAUCGUCGGUGUUAAUAGAGAAUGCCCUAAAUGAGGGUACAAAGGGAUCCGAUUUCUAUAUAGCAAUUUUUUUUCUCCUAUAUCUCUCUCAAAAAAAAAUGUUUUUUCUCCUAUAGUCUUUUUUUUCUUUCAUUAUUUUUUAUUGAAUUAUAAUUCUAUUCUAAAAAUUUUAAAGUAUUUUUUAUAUUAUUAAAUUUAAUUAAAUAUGAUUAUAUCCGCCGCAUCGCGUGAGUUGCUACACUAGUAUCCCAAUACCCUCGAAUUACAAAUUCAACUAAUGCUAAUUCAACUACAACAAACAAUAAAUAAAAUUUUUAGAUUUGCCCGUAAUUUCACCUGCAAUGUAAUUUGAAACACAACAGCCAAACAAUCUCUUUUAGAAUAUGUUGCAUUAUCCUUACAUGUUAAUUAUUGACCUGUUGACACAUAAGAUAUUUUUUUUUGGAAAAACUUCAAAUACCACUGAACUUUAGUAUCCUGUGGUUUCAUUUUUUCUUUUUCUCAGUUUUUCUGUUAAUAUUGAUACUUUAAAUGCUUAAAUUCAGUUAUUAUUCUGUUAGAAAAUUUUUUUUGAUCUUUUAUUACAAUAUUCUUUAAAAACCAAUUCGAAAAUUUAAUUACAGGUUUAGAAAAAUUCCGAAAUAAUACGGUAAAGAAAAUGUUUAGAUAAGGUCUGUGGAUCGAGGCGUGCAGAACACUGUCCUAGAAGCGAAAUUGCCCCUCCACGUGCGAGGCUUCUCAGCAAUUACUUCUAGCGAUACAACGACCACGUCCCACCUCGUCGGCACACUUCCAAGGUGGCGCAAAACGAACCCAACCAGCUUCAGAUCCAGCAAAAGAAAACUCGGUAAAAAUCCAGAAAGUAGAAAAUGAUGAGAGGCUUGUGUUAACCUCACCCUAUAUUUAUAACCUAGGCGAUAAUCAACGAAAGAAUACAAAUACAAAUUAAAAUAAAAUGAACCGAGUGUAUGGACUGCGCCCGCCGCUGCCCGGCUCGGCUCAUGCUCAUGCUCAUGCCGUGCGUGCGUAUAUUUAAACGAGAGUAUAAUUCUCAUUUUCUUCCAAGCAACUAACUUGAAAAUAAAGCAAUAUAUAAAAAUCACAAACACUUUUUUCGUUUCCAAUGUGGGACUAAACAUCUCACAUGAAGAUUUAGUUGGGCUCGCCAAGCCGCCUAUUAACAAUUAUUGGGCUCUCAAGUGGUUUAAUAAGUUUUAAAUCAAAAUAAACCCAAUAAAAACCUAAUAUUCCUAGCGUGUAGGUCUUAUAUAUUUUAAUCAGAAUCAGUUUUCGUACAUCGUAUUUAGACUCUGACGUUCUCGCAGGAUCCAAACCAGAUAUGAGAUUUUAGAGGUGGUUCCUACGGGUUCAAAUGGUGGCUCUUAUCAAAUCCGUUGGUUUAGUACUUUGCCUCGUAUAGCACUUAGCUCUUAUACUUUCGGCUGGUAUUCGGCUCUGAUACUAAUUGUAACGAUCCGAUCAGCUAGCAAUAAUAACUCGUUGGACCCAAAAUGCUUCAGCCCAAUUAUUAAUAGUGUGUAGGCCUCAUAUAUUUUAAUUAGAAUCAGUUUCUUAUCCAAUAUAGGACUAUUGGAGCGUUAUAGAUUUAACGAAAAAAAAUAAUGGGCGGGAUAAUAAAAAGAUAAAAAUAAAACUAUAGAAUACUAAAUUAAUAUACUUUAAAUCAUAUGAUACUAAAAUAAAAAAAUACAAAACUGAAAAGAUAGUAUUUGAAGUUUUUUUUUUUUCCUUAUUUUAGGCAUGCACACAGUGGAUAUAUUAUGGGUACCCAAAGCAUUUCCCCUUUACUUUAUCAACUGAGAUUAAGUAAUUUAGUAUGGGAACUUAACUCACAAUCAUUACAGACAAGGUACGUACUAGUACAGUAGUACCUAAUUUCUAACAUAUGUCACCACAGAAUAACACUGUGAACAGCAGUAGAGUGUUGAUUAAAAAUGUAAUUUUUGAUCUGUGUAUUAAUAUGAGAGGGUGUCUCGGAUUGUUUGACUCUUAAAGAAAAUAAAAUUUUGAUAAUUAGUCGAAUUUACUUCACAACAUAUUACAUAUAUAUCUUUUCUGAAUUCUCUAGUCAAAAUAAAGGAUUUAAUCUCACUCCGAUACUAUAUUUAAAUUUCAGAAUCAUCAACUGCACUUUAAAAUAUAUUCUCUGUGCCCAAUUUUUUUCUUAUCUAAUACAUGUUUUACAUUUUAUGUUUUUUUUCACUCUCUUUCGAGGCAACAAUGGUGGCUCGGCUCGAGGCAAACUAAGGACGCACCCUGUCCCUCUUUGUUACUUCGUUAUUUGAAUUAUCGCAACCACAAAAUACAGCGCAAAAAAUAAAAUAAAAAGCUAAUUGUACGCUUUAUAUUCGAGUGUACAUUUUUAUAUUUUAAGAUUUAAAAUAUUUAGAUUUUUUUGAUUUGUAAUUAAGAGCGCACAUAUAUAGAGAGGUUUUUUUCUUUUUUUUGGCAUAGUAGGCGCGUAAAAGCCAAAAAAAAGAAAGAAAUUGUGUCCAUUAUAUAUUUUACAUCCUAUUUAGGACAACUAUUUCCAUGAGCCUCAAUAAUCAGUAACUAAUCAGCAAUGGUCUCUGAGUUUCUAAUAAAUAGCUACUGUUUUUUUAUUUGCAAUCAAGUGUCGGUGGAUCUGAAAAUAUAAAUUAACUAAAAUUCGAAUUUAAAAUCUCGAGUAUCAAUUAUCAAUUUUUUUUUUACCACUUGCGCUAAGAGUAGAAUAUUAAAAAAUAAAAAUAUAGCUUUCUUUUCUAUAUGACAUAAUAAAUGUUAGGAGGAAAAAAUGAUAAAAUAGUUUGUUUGAUAAUUUUUUUAUCUUAAAUUAUAUUUAUUUUAUUUUUAGUCAAAUAUUUUGUUUGAUAAUUCUUUUUUACAAAAUUUAGUCAUAUUUUUUAAAAAUAAACUCUAGUGUCCAAAAUUUCCUCUAUUGAUGUGAUUUGCAUUCAUGGCCGGAGAAUCUGACCCUAACGUCUAAUCUGGUCCGGGAUGGAGAUGCAAUCGUCACAUGUUAUUUUUUUUUAAAAAAAAUAUAGUUUAUUCUUUUAAAAAUAAAUUAAAUUACUAAUUAUUAAAGUUUAUUUUGAUUUUGAAAUCUAUCUAAUGUUAUUGAAUAAAAUAAAAUAAAAAUAAAAAUAUAUAGAAAUAUAUUUUUUUAUUUUUUUGUAAUACUGUAAAAAUUUUAUCAUAACUGAUUAAUUACGAUAUAUAAAACGCAAAAUUAUAUACGAAAAUAAAUAAAAUAUUUUUUUACCGUAUUUUCUGUAAAAACGGCCUCUAAAUACUCUCAUGGCAUUUGACCAAUAUACCCUUAUCUAUAUACCUUGCUCAAUAGAGGCUCCCGAGGUCAUAUUUGGCAUUUCGCAUGUACCCAAUCAGAGACGGAGAGAGUGAGACAAGAUUUUAAUGCGCCUUAUAGGAGGAGCCAAAGAGAACGCAAGAGAGAGAAAGAGAGAGAGAGAGAGAGAGUAGUGAGACAGUGUGCAGCGCCGAGAGCGAGUCUUAUCACACGAACAGCAACUCCCCCCAUUCUCUCUGCUUCGCUCACCCUAUAAAGUCCCCCAUUCAUUACCACCACCACCACCACCACCACCCUCGUCUCCUCCGUCCACAAAACCCCUUCACCCCCGGAGCAUAAAAAAACCCUUUCGCCAUGGACGAUCCGCGCGAGCCAUGGCUCCCCGAGGGGCCCCGCGACCCCAUGGAGUUCCUCUCCCGCUCCUGGAGCGCCUCCGCGCUCGAGGUCUCCAAGGCCCUCGCCUCCGCCCCCCCGCCCCCGCCCCCGCUCCCGCCGCCGCCGCCGCCGCACACCUUCUCGGUGGCGGCGAUCCCCGAGGACGCCGCCGGCGAGAUGGAGGAGGCCGCCGCCGCGGCGGCGAGCGUCGCCGGGAACCCCUUCGCCUUCGCGUCGUCGGCGACGUCGCAGCUCGUCAUGGAGCGGAUCUUGUCGCAAUCGGUGAGCUCCUCUUCCUAAUUUCGCUUCAUUAUUUGCUCCUAGGUUUAAUCGAUGUGUAGGUAGGUAUAUUGUAGUUCUACUUGUUUCAUGUUACUUUCAUUAUUCACUCUGCUUUCACAAUUUUUUUGUAAAAAAAAAAAAGGUGUGCUUUGUGAGCUCUCAAAACUCGUCCUUUUUAUCUACCACUUCAACUAUAAUUGUUUGUAUUCAACAAUCCUCUGUUUUUUGUGUUCUCUUCAUCUUUAACCACACCUUAUUAAAAAAAAAAAAACCCCCCCCAAUUUUCUCAACAAAAGUUACUCUUUGUUCCUCCUCUACUGCAGCUUUACUCAAUCCAACUUCUGGGUUGCAAAGCUCUCAAAGCUCUGUUUCUCACUAUGCUCUGUUUCUCCUCUCCCCCUGUUUUCACCAUACACAGCAAGAAGUUUCCCCUCUCACUUCCGGUCGCCUCUCGCACAGCAGCGGCCCCCUCAACGGCGGCGGAUCCCUCUCCGACAGCCCCCCAGUUUCCCCUUCCGAAAUCGACGACAUUAAGGUCCCCUCUCUCAUCUCUCCAUCUAAUAGUCUAAAACUGGAAAAAGAAAAGGAAAACAACAAAACAGAGUAGCUUCUCUUGUUCUUGUUUCCUUAUGAGUAAAAUUGUGCUGGGAGAAACCGGAUCAAUAGUACACUCCAUUAAAUUUAAUUGUUCUAAAAACUUCUUAAGUAGAAAAACUAGAACUUUACUUGAUGUUACUUAAUAAUGGGUCUAUUUCCACUGUUCAUUCCUCUGUUUUUUAAUAAAGCAAGUAAAUUUCUUUGUUUCACUGUAGUAGUAGACCAGUGACCAAAGGUCUCACCUUUAAAGAGAGAAAGAGAGAGAGAGAUGUGAAACCUUUCUCUUGUUCCAAUAAAAUACCUGUGACAUAUUUAUCACCAGGCGUGUAAUUAAGUGCCCACUUUUUUGUUUUUUCUAAUAGGAGUUUGGGUGCUUUGAUCAUUACUUUGCUAUGCCCAUGUGCUUUUUUUNGCCCACUUUUUUGUUUUUUCUAAUAGGAGUUUGGGUGCUUUGAUCAUUACUUUGCUAUGCCCAUGUCCUUUUCUUCUUUUUUUUUUUUUUGUGUUUCACUGAGAUGGUAAAACAUCAUAUAUGCCUAGCCCUAAAAUGCUCCUGGGAGCCAACCUGAGAAAAGGAGUGCUCUUUACAGCACCAGGGUUAUUUUGGGCUUUUCAAAUUUGGAUAUAGGAAAAAGGAAAAGAGCCAAAUAAUUGCUACUACUAUCGCUUUUGCACCAUGUAAGAGAGAGAGAGAGAGAGAGAGAGAGAGAGAGAAGGCUAAUGAGAUUUGGUGAGCACUGUAGGAUAUACCAUGUCCAUCCAUGUAAGGCUAGAGGGGCACUUUUGGUAAUUUUCAGGGGUUAUUUUGGGAAUGUUGUACAAAAUAUAAUAUAAUAAUAUGAUUAAUUAAUGUGAGGGGUUAUUUUGUCUUGUAGUUCUCUGAGCAAAGCAACCUCUGUGGGUUUUUCAUAUUUUUUGUUUCUCUGGUUUUUGCUUGGGACUUAAGAAGCUUUGAUUCUUUCCCAGUUUUUGUCCCCCCUCUCUCUCUCUCUCUCUCUCUCUCUCUCUUCUGCUUCAUCAAACAGCAAAAGCAGUUUCUUCAGAAGCUGCCCCCCUUUUGCUUUGGCUGGUGUCCGCAGCACUUCUGCUACCUUUUGUUUUCUUUCUUCUUUCUCCUUUUUUUUUUUUUUUUUGCCGAGUACUAAUCUCAUCAUUAAAUUAAAAAAAAAGAAUCGGGUUCUGAGCCGCUGUGCGUGCUCCAAUCUCAUUACCACAUCUGUUCCCUAUACAUGUCAUAAGAUGCCGAGGGAAACGCAUUUCCCAUGCAACUGUUCUGAAACUGGAACGCUUGGGAACAGUGUUUCUUGUUCAAUCAAUUUCGCUGUGGGACCCUUGACCGCCCUCACGCUCACGCUCCACACGUACGAGUACGAAUAAUAGUAAACGAGAGUAAACAUAGUAUUAUUAUCAUUAUUAUUAUUCAAAUCGAUUUGAUUUAACAUAAUAUUAUUAUUCAAUACGAAUUAUAGUAAAUAGGUGUGGAUAUAGUAUAAUUCAAAUCGAUUUGGCUUAGCCUAUGAGAUUUCUGGUGUAGUAUUGCCGCGCGAGCAACACGCCGAAGCCGCAGGCGUACAACCGCGCCGGGGGUGGGAAGACGGUGGGGAGGUGGCUGAAGGACCGGCGGGAGCGGAAGAAGGAGGAGACGCGCGCGCACAACGCGCAGCUCCACGCGGCCGUCUCCGUGGCCGGCGUGGCAGCCGCCGUGGCCGCGAUUGCCGCCGCCACCGCCGCUGCCUCCUCCGCCGCCUCGGGCUCUGGGAAGGACGACCGCGCCUCCCGCACCGACAUGGCGGUGGCCUCCGCCGCCACGCUCGUCGCCGCGCAGUGCGUGGAGGCCGCGGAGUCGAUGGGGGCCGAGCGCGAGCACCUGGCGGCCGUCGUCGGCUCCGCCGUCAACGUGCGCACGCCGGGGGACAUCACAACUAUCACCGCGGCUGCUGCUACUGGUAGCGUCCGCAUUCCGAUUCCGGAUCAUCAUUUAAUUUCGAACUAAAAUUUGCAUCAUUUAAUGGUAAACUUAAAUUGUUGCUAAAUUUGGUCCGGGUAUAUCUCAUUUUCCCGCAUUAAUGGGUAGCAUUACGAGGGGCGGCGACAUUGAAGGCGCGGGCCCUGAAAGAGGUGUGGAACAUUGCUGCAGUAAUUCCAGUAGAGAAGGGCGGAGUCGGCGGCGGCGGCGGCGGCCAUCAGAAGCAUCAGCAUCAGCAUCAUCACGGCCAGAGCAAGCAGCAAAAGGAGAUCGACAGCAAUGGGAGCAGCUUCAGCGACGAUCUCGUCGCCGACGAGGACAACUUCCUCGGCCUCUGUAGCCAGGAGCUUCUCGCCCGCGGGUCCGAGCUACUCAAGCGGACGCGCAAAGGUGUUCGAUCAUAUUCCCCCCUGUUCUUGUUCAGAGAAUAUUACAAUUACAACUAAAAAGAGCGAACGAAGAGUGAUAAUUGAUUUUGAUUUGCAGGUGCACUGCACUGGAAGGUUGUUUCAGUUUACAUUAACAGAGUGGGUCAGGUAAAAUGGUUUUCAAGGGCUUUUACUGUUUCUGUUUACAAUUCCCUUUUAGAUCCUUACUCUGCAAGGUUUAAUUAAGGGUUUCUUUUUGCGCGAAUUGUUUAGGUAAUGCUUAAGAUGAAGAGUAAGCAUGUAGCUGGAACAAUCACUAAGAAGAAGAAAAGUAAGCUAACAUUGUUUUAUUUUUUGUUUGAGGGUUUUAUUGUGCAUCAAAGCUUUAUGCUGAGUCUAUAACUUUUGGUGUCGGAAACAUUCAUUUACUGCAGGUGUAGUCAUAGAUGUGUGCAAGGAUGUCACGGCGUGGCCGGGCCGACACCUGCUAGAAGGCGGGGAGCAGCGCCGCUACUUCGGGCUCAAGACGGCGGAGCACCGCGUGAUCGAGUUCGAGUGCAGGAGCCAGCGCGAGUACGAGAUGUGGACGCAGGGCGUGUCGCGCCUCCUCGCCAUCGUCAGCGAGAGGAAGCGCCUCGCGUAAUCCGCGAAAGAAAACCAGUUAAAAAGAAAAAAAAAAAAAAAAAAAAGCACUAGCAAAAAAAUGAAGCUGUGUAGAUCUGGAAAAGAGGAGGGGGUGAUGGAUAGGUGACCCACCCUGAAUUAAAGAGGUUUGGUGAGGGGGUGUUUCAAAUGGGGAAGGAUUUGUUGUGUUUUUUUGUGUCUGUGUGGGGUUGGUGUAUAAUGUAGUGAAAUUGUGAUGGGUUCCAUCUCUCACAUCUCUCACAUUGUGUAGGAAGAGAAAAGUAGGGUGGGAUCAUAAGAUCAAUCAAAGAAGAGGGUGUGGGGUAGUUUUGUUAUUGGGUUUUACCUUUUGUCCUAUGGUUUUGUAUAAAUAUUUUUAAAAAAGCCAAAAAAAAAGAGCAAAAGGGUAAACUAUGAUCUGAUCAGCUACAGUUGUUGUAGGAAAGAAUCUUUGACUGAGGAAAAAAGGAAAAAGUUAAAAAAGUUAAAAAAAAAAAAGCAGGUGAGGGGCUCUUUUUAUCCCUGUUAUUUGAUUUGUCAAGCUAAAGAUAAAAAGUCACCACUUUGCUUUACUAUGGACUCAAAAUUGACUAAGAAACACAAUCAGGUACUUUUAUUGUAACCAUAUUCCCCUAUUCACAGAAUCAAAGUAACUGUAUAUGUUCCUCUGGCGUGUGAUUACUCUUCCACAUUGUGAAAAUUAUUAAAAAAAAAAAAGAAGCUUACGAAGUUUUGGGGUUAUGAAUUUGCCUUAUAAUAAGUGAGCCAUAUCACGAAUUUUAGGACAGCACGGAGCAGUUAAUGAAGUUACAUGUGAAUGCAUUGUAGCAUAAUAAUGCAUCACCAGGCAAUAUAUAUAUUUUAUUUCCUGAGGACUAAAUGCAUGAAUUUUCAUACACGCAAGUUAUGGAUGAUGCAUUAAUUGCAUCAACAAGGAUAUAAGAUUUCACUGGCUUAAUCGAAUGGUUCAACCAGGAUUUCAAUAUAUGUGAAUCUGCGGCCAAAUUUUUAAUAUUAGUUGUAUUAGUCGAUAAAAAAAAUAUUUAAAUACAAAGCGGUGUUUCUAUUUGAGAUUGCAUAAGAGAAAUCGUUUUACCAUGGGGUAGAGAGGUGAGACGGGUUCUGAACCCUGAAAGCAGAAGCUACGAAUGCUAUGCUUAUAUUUCAUUUUUAAGUAAUUUGUGUACACCGAUAAAGAGCGAAAAGAAAUCAGCUUUUACAUAAGUGAAGAAACUAAGUUUCAAAAUAAAGUGAAAUUAUGUGCUUAUGCAUCCUAAUCAUUCUUUCAAUAAUUGCAUGAUCUCCUCAACAUCAUAGGAGACUUUUCAUCCAGAAUUUUUUUUUUUUUAAAAGUUGUGGGUUCCCUGGUCCAUGGGUCAUGAUUAAAAUUAGCUCAUUACUUGUUGACCCAUUAGGAAGAAUUGGUUCAGGUAGUAGCUACCUACAACAUUCCACAAGAGACAAGCCAUCAUUCAGUGGACUCUGCUCAAUCAUUAGGCAUGUUUGUUUCACCAGUGAGUAGUGGGAAGUGAAAUUAUUUACAUUUGUAGCUUGAUUUGCCGUAAAUUAAAUUCGCUCGUUAACCUGUAGUUGACUUUUCUCUGAAUGGUGCCAAAGUCAAUUAUAGGGGUAAAAGAGAUAGAAAAGAUAAUAAAAAAUUAAUCCAAGAAUCAAUCUUUACCUAACAAUGAGAAUAGUAAAAUGAAAAAUGACAGCUUACGUCGAAAAAUAGUCUUGAUUUUUCACUAUUGCCCUGUGUCUUCUUGAGAUUAGUGUUGGAUCUGACUCCCAUCCAACGGAGCAGGACAUUCUCGAUGUACCAGUCAUAUCAUUUGGAAGCCAUCACAGACUAAUUUAGUUGUCGCCAUGCCAGAUUCAUCAAGUAUUCAUCGAGUGGAAUAGUAGUAAAUCCGACAAUUGAAAAGUUAGAAGUGAAUUAUUUUGCUAUGUAGUAAAAUUGCAUUUUGCUGUUCUGGAUCUCACAGGAAUGAGUACGCAGAAAAGUUCAGCCAGAGCGGCAGCAUCAUGAUUCACGAUAACAAGCUAUCGCGCGGCGAUGCGAAAUUGGCCUCAGCAACAAUUGUCCAAUAUGUUACUGUGUAUUCAAUGAGUUUGAGAAAUCGAUUUCAGACACAUGUAUUUGUCAUGGCCACUUCCAUCUCUGCUUUAACAUUACAGCAAAUCAAACACAGAUUCAGAUUUCAAACUCAAAUAACAAGCUGGUUUAUACUUUUUGGAGUAGACAUAGUUGUGCAUUCCACGCUUGAAACUUGUCGCUUCAAUAAGGUUAAUAAAAGACAGAAAAGAUCUACCUAUACACCAAGACAAAUGAUCCAGUACCUUUUCAUACUUACAAUAUACAACUUUAGCAUCACUCUGUUCAAGCGCCCGUUUGAUCAUUAUGAGAUGUAUGCUACGGGAUCAAUAAUCUUCUGAGUGCUUCAACUAUCGGCGGCUCUUAGUAGAGUGAGAAGAGAUAGAAAUAAAUUGAUGACGUCUAAAUACAAAGCAACAGCAGCCCAAAUGUAUUCAUCGUAAGUAUAGCGUUUAAUCAAGUUGUCUGUGUCAUAAAUAAUGUAGCCAGAGAAUAUAAUUGCCGCUAAUCCCCCGUAUAUCAUGAGAGAGAUCUUUCCCAGUGGGAAUAAGAUCUGCAAAAUAAGUGAUGGAUGCUUAAUACCAUAGAAAUAUAAAUCUAAAUUUCUAGAAAGAGAGAGAUGUGCUUCGAGGUAUUUUGUCUACCUGGAUGAAGGCAAACGCAAGCAACACUAAGAAGGAAGCAAAAAGGAAGGGGCCAAGGAAGUUGAAGUCGUGGCCCCUCUUCGCAGCCCAGAAGGUGUAGAGCGUGAGGCUAACAACCACUACCGUGGUUAGGAUAGCAGAUUCCAAAAUGACCUUCCCUGUUUAUGAUUAAAAGUCUCGCAGUCAAAGUUAUUUGUCAUAAUAGCAACAAGGACAAUACUAGAAAGUGGAUAUUCGGAUUGUUUUGAAAUCAUCAAUUGUAGAUGAUAAUCAGAAACAUUCUAUUACUACAGAGAUAUGAAAGAAAAGAAGCGAAUAAAUAGAGAACUUCUCAAGACAUGCUCAAAUAAUAAUUGCAAAAAACUAAUCCAACAUCAGGGGGGUAAAAGAAAAGAAACUGAUAUGUUAAAGCAUGAGAAAAACUUACCUGUUAAGCACAUCAUAAGAAAGUUAAUACCAUUGUAUGUUAAGUCAAAAAGAAAAUACUACAUAGCAAUCUAUAUUUUGUGUUUUGAUAGGCAUUCUACCUUACAAAGUAAAAGCUAAAGGAGGUCAUUUUCUCCGUUCUAAUAGUUAAUUUGGCACCUCAAAACUGUUUCCAAACAUAAAGCAGAGGCAAAUGAUGUUUUCCGCACAGAUACACAAAAGAUUUCUAUGUAUUUGACAGCACAAGCAACCUAGAUCUUCAGAUAACAGAAUGUUCCUUAACUACCUUGCUUAAAAUUGGCCAAUACUGACAAUCUGAAAGAUAAAUAUCAUUGUGCUUCUGGACUAUUGGCUAAAAUAAUGUGAGCUUACACCAUCCAUGAUCAUCUAGGCCUAUCAUGCCAGUAUAUUUAAGGAGAAUAUCCAUAAAAUUGUCAACAAUAUGACAGCAUUUCCACCCUACAACAGCUGCAUGAUCCUGCAACUAUGAAUUAAAAUCGUACAAGCUGUUACUGAACCUAAUGUAUUGUGAACAUGUGAACUCAUCUAUGCGACUAAACGAAAUACGCGGUAUCAUUCUAAUUAUACUUUUGUGAAACAUGAUAAUUUCACAGCAUCUUGUUACACCUACAUUGAAUAUAUUAUUAGAACUUCAGCAAGCAAAUUACAAUAGAAUAAUUAAAGUUGCGAUCUUUACCGCUGGUGAAUGCGCAGGACAUCCCGACAGCGAAACUGAUCGAAACCGUAAACAAUCCUAGCAACAGCAGAUUCACCGGAUGCCGCUGGUGAUAGUAAUACAGAGGGCACAGAACUGCAUUUAGAAAUCAUCAAAAAAAAAAAAAAAUCAGAAAAAACAAAGUAAAAAAACAAUAACAAAAUCAAAUGAAAUCACCAAAAUAGCAAUCAAAACAAAAGCAGGGAGUAGGGGGAGAGGGACCGAUGAAGGGGAGGAUGAGGAGGACGAUGUAUAGGGCUAAUCCGGCGGUGGAGGAGACGAAGAAAUGGGAGAUGGGGUGGACGAAGACGAUGACGGCGGAGACUGCGGCGGUCAUGGCGAUCUGUAUGGCGAGUAUUACGUAGAUCUUCCGGAUGAACGCCCACCGGAGCUCCGGGCUCUCCAUCAUCGCCGGGUACAGCGGCUGCGGCCCCGAUUCCACAUCUCCCUUCCCGUACGGACGAUUCCACAUCUUUUCCUAGAUCGAUCGAUCGAAAUCUAUGGAGAAUUUAGGGUUAGGGUUAGGGUUUCGAAUUUGAGAAGUGGGAGAGAAUUGGGGAAGAAGAAGAAGAAAAACGGCGAGAGAGUGAGCCGUUACUUAGAACGUAAAAAAUCGACUCCGACACAAUUGGCCGUUACAGUAACACGUGGCGGAAUGUGACGGGCACAGGUGGAUUUUUCAUUUCCUGGAUUGGUGCGAACAGGGAACACGCUCUAUCUACAACGAGGUUUUCGCAAUGCAGCGAAACCGUAGUGGGGCUCACUUACAACGCUCGAGAAGCGCAUGUCAUUGGGCGAUAGAGUGUUUGGUGUUUGAUGCAGAGUAGCGGAGCGGAUCCUUGGGAAUAUCCUUCGCCGACAAGAAACGCCACUCCAGAAUAAGAAGGAUAGGCGGAAUGUUCGUGUACAACAAAAUGUACCCAACGCUUUCCUUCCUAUUGUGCCAAUGAGAAUGGGGGUGCUGUUGGGGAAGUUAUCGGUCACAUAGAUCUCGACGGCGAGGACGAGUUUGAACCGUCGGAUCAAACUCAAAUUUAUUUGGAUUCUACGGUUGGAAGAAACCAAAACAUAAAUAAAAUAAAUUUAAAAAUUUGAAUAUCCAGUUUGAACUUUGAACCGACUAUCUAACCUUGUGAAAAUUUAAUAUUAUUAUUCAAUCUUUUAAUUUGUUUGCCUUUAAAAAUUUUAUAGUUAUGAAAAUUAAAUAAAAUAUAUUAACUAAAUCAUUAAAUAUAAAUAAGGUAUUCGAAUUAACAGGUUCAAAAAUCGUUGACAGGUUCAAAUCGAACUAAUUGAAUAUUAGACAGUAAAAUCAAAAUUUUUAAAAAGUUGGACAGCGACUCAAAAAGAUAUAUAAUUCAGAUAAGCUUUAUACAUUUUACCGAUAAAAUAUUACUUCUAAGAUCGUUUCUACGUUGAAAUUUACAUAGUAUUUCUUUAAACAAUCUAAAGCUAAAAAUUCUUUAGGUCAUGAGCAUCAGUUCGUCCAAAUCAUAUAAAUAUAAACAUUCUGGAGAUCUAUAGCCGUACUCUAAAGCUUGCGAAAUGCCUUUUUUUCAUUUCUUUCUGGGUUACAUAACACGAUCAUCAAAUUAUGAAGCGCAUGACACUUUAGCAAAAUUAAAUUUAUUAUAAUAUUUUAUUUAGUUUUUUAAAAUUAUUGUAAUUAGAUCCAAAUAAAAAAAAAAAGAGUGCAUGAAGCAAAUCAUACUACGAAGGGAGAUUUGCAAUACUUUAAUACAUGAGCACAAGUUAAUUGGUGCUCGAUUCACACAUUUACCAAAAAAAAAAGAAAAAAGAAAACGUUAAAUUGGACUGAGCCCAUUGGGCCACAUUUGCAUAAGUCCAAGUAGGCCCAUCUAAGCCCAUUGGGCCACUUGUUGCAUAAGUCACAGAUAUUUUAUAUAGAAGUCCCUCUCUCUCUCUCUCUCUCUCUCUCUCUCUCUCUCUCUCUUAAAAAAGUUUUCUUUGUCACGAAUAUUUUAAAUAAAUAACAAUAUCAAUCAAAUAUCUUAAAAUUGUACAAAAGUAUGUACAACUGUACAAGAACAAUCUUUGUUUUAAAAAAAAAUUUGAUGUAAAAUUACUAUAUACUCUGUUGUCAAACUCUUUAUCAUUUUACACGGCACACUAUAAUUUCUUUAGGAUAAUAUCAAAUGUGUUAUAACCAUUAUCGAUCGGUAACAUCUCAAUCACAUUUCUAACACAUCAAAUUAAAAAAGUUAGGCGAAAGGCAUUGCAAUAAUUUCUAAUGAGAAAGAAGAUGAGGAUUAGAUAUAUAUAACAUUAUUAAGUAGUGUUUUUUUUUGCUAGAAAUUGAUAUUCAUAGGAGGAAGGAAUCGUAGUAGAUUAACUUAAGUUUUACACAGCUGUACACUGUUUGUAAACCAUGGAUUAAUCUUUGUUACCUUCUCUCUUUUGCUAAAAUGUGUUAACAUAAUAUCUGAAAAUAAACUACCUGCUGGAAUUACACGAAGAAUUUUCUUUCGACAGCUUGCGACUAAACUUUCCUAAUUAUAUCAGUUCGUUCGUAAUUUAAAUUUGACAUGCAUGCCCAUGCAUUGACGCUCGACACUUUAGAUUUGAAAGACAUAUGUAUGCAGUGUAUUAUCUUAGUCAAAGUUUUUUAUCGGUAUUAUGUGAUCGAACGAUCGUUGGUUAGAGGCUAUACGUAAUGGCCCAUAAAAUAGUGACAUAUGAGAUAUAUAGUUGUGAAUGUGACAUCAAAAACCAAGCACAUUUUGUGUCAAAAUCCAGCGAAAACAAAGAGAAACAAUUGAGGUACUCAGCAUGAAAGCGAAUUGGAAAGCUCAUGAGGUAAUUACAUAAUUAUCUACAUUUUGUUUUGCUCCUUGUUAUAUAUAAAGUUAAUGAUACAACCCUAAAAGCCAAAUAAAGCUAGCUAGCCAAUUGUGCAUGCCAUGAGAAAUAUAGUUUUAUGCUUUAAUCUUUGUUACUCUUUUUCACAGUAAGGUUUUUCAUUAGAUUCUAUGUCAUAGUAAGUGUUAGCCAUAAAUGUAUCCUUAUAAGGUCCAUUGAACUGAUAAUGAUGCAAAGCACUAAAAAAGAAAAUGUCGUAGCAUUAUGGAAAUCCGAAAAUAUGAAAAAUUCAAUGAUAAUAAACACUAGUGUAUGUUGAUAACAAAGCUGAGAUAGCCACCUCUUAUGCAGUUGAUUCCAUGAUCUUAAAAGCGAAAUUUUUAUACAUAUAGUUUCAAAAUUGAUUAAUGCAAAAUACUUUUCUACAAUGUGGGUAGAGUAAGCCUUGCCAGGAAAGAAAAGAAGAUCGAUACAUUGUAAGAUAGUAAAUCACAAUUAUUAAAGCACUUGUACCAUUUCAAAAUGCACAACAGUUCGGGUUUACGUUUGCCCAAAAGAUUUUGCAUUUUGCUUAGAAACUCUUUAUGAAAUCAAUCGUUCGGUUCUUUUCGAACUCGUCUCUAGCUUAACUAGUUAGAGCUCGAAUAGAAAUUAACAUUGCCAAUCUCUAUUUAAUAAGUUAAAUCCUAUCCUAUAAUUACGCUUGUCGGCUCCAACCAUCAUAUUAAUUAGUUAGUUAGACAGAUAGAUUAGACAGAUAGAUUAAUUAGAUUUGUAAGUUCACUAAUUAAACUCUCUGAUAUAUACCUCUCAACACUAUAUACCAUGCAUAUGUAUUGGUUGUGGCUCAAAUUAAUCCUCAGUUUAAUUUGUGAUUGAUCUUUAAUUUAAUACUUCAAGUAACCAUCUUUACUCAUUAAUUAAAUUAUUUCUAGACUUUUUCCACAACAAAAUAUAGCUAAAAAGUAAAAGCAUACAUUUUCUGUAAUCUGUAACACCAAUUAUAUAUGCUUGAUGAAGUGAAAAAUGAUCCAUUUCUUUCAUCAUUUUUCACAUGAUUAUCUUUAAUUUUCAAUGCUAGCUGGCUAAAUUAUGCAAGAUACAUAACUAAGCGAUAUCAUCAUUAAAAGAAAAUGUUAUGUGAUCUUGUUGAAUUAAUAGUAUGCGUGCAAAUUAAUUUUAGUAAAUUAAUUUGUUUCCUUAUCAGGAAAUGAAUACACUAUCAUCGAUCUAACUGGAAAUUAAGGUAUAUUAAUUUGUGCAAUAACAUACCUUGAAAUUGAAUCCAUCAUGUGCAACAUCUUACUUAAAGAAUAGAUUAUAUUAUCAAGCACACAGUACAUUCACAUACAUUAAUAUAAUCUUCAAUAUGACAAAGUUUUUAGCAUAUGAAGUAAUAAUUAACACGCUGCACCACCAUAUAAUUUGAAUACUUAUAUGCAUGCGCACAUCCGAUGAAAAGCUAGCGUCGACACUCGGCUCCUUUGCUUUUGCCUCCGACCAAAUUCACUUAUUUCAUUGGCGAUCUUAUCAUUAAAAGAGCAAGGAAUAUGCUGUUCAAAAUAAUAAUUAACUAAUGAAUUCGCGUGAUAAGAUUUUGGAAAGCAUAGAUUCUUAAUUACUUUGUUUUAGGUAGGGUGCAUGUACAAAGUGUAUAUGAUUCUUGGAUAUUGAAUUUUUUUUGGCCUACGUGUAUAUAUGAAUUGAUUCUAACCUGUUGCAUUGUAUAUUGUUUAAUUUACUGGCACAAUAGGUUUGUGUGAAAAGCCUCAUAGAAGUUCCACAACUUAUUCCAGAUAAGGUUAAUUUAGAAAUAUUUUUUGCUUAGCUAAUCAAUAGGUGCCGUGAGAACUAAGACAACAAUAUGCUACAAAAGUGAUUACAAUUUUUAAAUAACCUUGUUGCACCUUUCAUUGGCCCUUACGUUCUAAAGGAGAUUCCUCUCCACAAUUGGAACAAACCUCUUCUCCUACUUAUUCUUAUAUUAUAUAUAUAUAUAUAUAUAUAUCCUUAUCAAAACCUUUCAUGGUCCUUAUUGCGUGAACCCUAGCUCUAGUGUAUAAUGUAUUCACUACAACCUCCAAAACUCAAACCCAAACUCUAAACGCAAAAAUCUACAGUAUUAAAAAUGAAAGUAAAAUUAAAACAAAGUGUAGUUCCUUACAUGAAUAUUAAAAGGACUAUAAAAUUAUAAUUUUCAACACAUAGUUAAAGAAAGGUACGUAAUAUUUGUAUUUUAAGGCCUCUAAUUCAAUUUGAGUUUUGAAAACCCUAGUAGAGGAUAAUUAUAUAAACCAUGGUGCAAUGCAAUAAUGUAUAUUAUUAUAUAUCACCACCACAUGUGGAAGGGGGAAGGAGUUUUUUGCAGCCACGUAAAGGCAAGCCAUUUGUGUGCAAAGGUCAAGAAGUGGGCAUGGGGUUUGGACUUCGUGAGAGGAGCCUCAAAUUUGCAUGAAGACAAAUAAUAAAUUGGAAGAGAGGCCACAACUUGGCAAGUGUACUCCACUUGUGCACUGGACCUUAUAUAUAUAAUGAGGGGCUAAUGUGAAUAUGUAUGCAUGUACCAACCAAAUCAAUAAAGGAUACUUGGACUCUUUAGGCCAUGAAAGAUGUACAAGGUGACAAAGUACUUCAACAACCAAGAGAGAGAAAGAAGAGUGUGUGUGUAAGAGAGAGAGAGAGAGAGCGAGAGAGAGAGAGAGAGAGAGAGAGAGAGAGAGAGAGAGAAGUGUACAUGGUGGUUGAAGGUGCCAGCUAACUGACAUGAAGAAGAGUUGGAGUGAGAGAGGGUCUUCAAUUGGGAAUUGAAUGAGGUGGAAAACAAAUGCAUCUACAGAGAGAGAGAGAGAGAGAGAGAGAGAGAGAGAGAGAGAGAGGGGUGUGAGUGCAUGAGAGAGAGAGAGAGAGAAGAUUAAUAACUGGAUGGAAGUUUCUUGAAGGUACAAAUUCAAAAGAUAAGAAGUAGAAAACAUAAUCAUCAAAAAGAUAGAUCCAUCGUCGACGCUAGCUCAAGUGGCAAAGGAAUCUUUGAUACGGGAGAUUUUUAGUUCAAAACUUAGUUGUACUUCAUAUUUUGAGCUAAGUUCAUUAUUCAAAAAAUAAAAUGAAAUGGCAGCAUACUAAUAUUCUCUACUCUAAAAAUAUAAUCAGACAGAUAGAAAAAAAAAAUUGACUACAAUUAGUCUUAUUGUUUUAUUUUAUUUAUUUUCACUUACCAAACUUCACAAGCUCUUCAAUAGAAAAAAAUAUAGAAUAAUAAAAUACUAAGUCUAUAAUCCAAAAAAUAUUAGCCGCUCUAAAGAAAGAAGUCUACGUAUAGUAAAGCAGCUACACCAUAUCAUAUAUGUCCAAUCAAUAACAUUUCAUCUUUAAAAAAAAAAAUAUAAUAAAAUUAUUUUUUUAAAAAAUUAUGAUGAAAUAAGUAAAUUUUAAAAUAAUAAUUUGAUUGAUUAGAGACGCUACAUAUCACUCCAUGUGACUAUCAUAUUUUAAAUUUUUUCACUCCAAAGCUGUCAUCGUACCAUGCUCACGAGGUCACUUAACAAAGUCAAAGCCAAGAUCCUCUCAGCUGUACAUCCUUGCGUGCUUAAUCAUAGUGGUAGGUAGCUAGUCUUCCCCAUGUUCUGCCUAAAAUAAAAAUAUACAAAAAAUUAUGAUUUUUUUAAAAAAAAAAUACACAUGGGAAAUUUCUAGUGCAUAUAUAAGAAAAAGAGGUUAAUAAUUAUGAUUUUGAUUUGAUUUCUGAAUAAUAUGCACCCACGGGAAACAAAGAUUCAUAAAGAGAGAGAAAAGAAAGGACAAAAAUUUAUUGUAUAAUCAAAAGCAAGCUUAUGUGACUAAUUAAUUGCAUAUAUAUGGAGUCCCUAAAUCCAUACAAACUUGGAUUUUCAUAGAAAACAAAGUGCAUACAUAUACACAAACAUAAUAUGAGUGAACAAUAUAAAGCACGAUAGAGUUGCAACCAAAAGAAAAAGAAAUCUAAAAACUAUAUGCAGGAAAAACAAAAAGAUAAUGCAAAGAACUCACAUAGAACUCGAUCGAUGUAUGGUUUGAUAAUUUCCACAGGCCAAUUUCUCAAGGAGCCAAAACCUAGCUCAGACUCAAAACCCCUAAUUAUAGGCCUCGCCGAAUAUUUCUCUUAUACAUCUUUGAUCAUCUCUGAAUCAAUCUUAACAUUGUGAGACAAAGAUAAUUAAGCAUAAGUUAUGUAUAACGCCAUAAGCGAAAAAAGAAUAAAGAUCACAAACAAAGUAGAAGCAAAAAUAAGUUCAUGAGAACCACAAACCCUUUGGCCUCCCCCAAGAACUAAUUCGAUCGACGCCGUUUUCUCUUGAAACCCUAGCUAACAUGCAUGUUAUAAGUAAGAAAUUAUAACAACCUGAUGAAGAAGGGAUUGAGAAUUUCUAGUGCUCCCAUCAGCAGAUGAAACUGCCGCAUGAUCUGACUCAGAUCCCAUCUAAGACUUACACAAAGACAACAUGCACAAAAGAGAAGAAGUGAUUCUUUCUUCUUCUUUUUUUCCCUCUUUCGAUGCUAAACCGAAUUAAAGAGGCCGAAAUUUAAGAGAUCAGAUCAUGCUGGCAGCUUCAGCCGCUUGUGGUGCACCGCUCACUGCGUCGAUCGGAACAAACUACAGAGAGAGUGAGAGAUGUGAAGAGAGGGGAUGAGGAGAGGGGGAGAUAUAUAUAGAUCAAGAAGGAGAUGAGAGAGAGCUAGGGAUGGUAUUUGCGUUUUGGUGAACAUGUUAACACCAAAAAGGGGUUUAAGAUAGGAACAAAUCAAACAUAAAACGAGUGGUCCCCGAAGUAAAAGAGUAAGUUCAGUAAAGCCAUGGCCAGCCCACCAACAUGCAGUUAGGGUUUCCAAAUCUUCUACUGUACAAAUGGGCCCUUAAUGGCUUUUCCAUAAGCCCUUUCGUGCAUCUCCAACUACGUCCCAUUCAUUGAUCGAGAUGUGCUCCCCAAGGGAGAUAGAGAUAGGGGAGAGAGUUACCCGAAAAAAUUGAUUUGAUAGCAAGAUAUAUAUAUAUAUAUAUAUGAGUCCGGCUACGGUGCUUGUAAAAGUACCAAGCACUUGAUACUUGUAUUUUUUUUACCGUUAGAUCUCUGCCUUUGAUUAUUUUAACCGUUAGAUUAUACUAUUCAACCAACCACCCACUCAACCCUAGGGGGCCCACAUCAUUCUAACCGCACAUCCUUUAAUCCAAGGGCCGAAAACUUACAACCACCAAUAACUUGGUAUUUUUAAAAGCAUAGGAGCUCANUCUCUCUCUCUCUCUCUCUCUCUAUAUAUAUAUAUAUAUAUAUUAAGAGAGAAGAGUAUUAAAUGGCAUGUGAAAUCUAGCUGGUUUCGUUUCGCUCAUUUUUUAGAAAUAAACUUAGUUUGAAAUAUAAAAUAAUUAGUUUUCAAAUUUGAAAUCUCAAGUACCAAUUGUUAAGUCCUUUUUCACUUGCAUUAGGAACGGUCGGUGUUCAGGAUUAGUGUUUAAAAAAAAUAAAUAAAAAGAGGUGGCAUGGGGGUGGGUAAGUUCAUGAAAUACAUAGCCAAAGUUAAUGGUUGGUUAAUUGUAAGGUGGGUCAAGUGGGGUUUUACAUACAGACCUGUUUGUUACACAAGAAUCACAAGUAGAAGAUUGUGCACAUGCCCAUCUAAUGUGGUUCCCUAACAAGAUCAUGUGAUCUCUCUCUCUCUCUCUCUCUCUCUCUCUCUCUCUCUCUCUCUAUUUCUGUGUGCUUGUGUGUUUGCGGCUAUUAAUGGGUAUUAAUUUGCUUAGUAGAUUUCUUUUAAUUUCUUCCUCCCGAUUGGUCCAAAAUCUCUAGAAAGUAUAUAUAUAUGCAUGUGAUAUCAUUUUGUGGAUGGUGCAAGUUGUGUGUAAAUAGGUGCCUUUCAGAAGCAUGCGUAUAGUAAGCUCAGUGAGAUCAGUCCCCAUCACAAAACACCUAAUUCUAGAACCAAAAAAUUGACUAGCCUGAUUGUAAUCCAUCUUUGGACCAAGCGCAUUCUCCAAUGAAAUCUACAAAAAAUGACAUAGACUUUAUUGAUAUUAACAGAGUCAUUUUCACCAUAAACAGCUAGUUAAGAUUCAUUACAUAAAUUUGAUGCAUAUAUCUCUCAGCCGAUAGUGAAAUUAGCACUUUGAUAACACCAUUCUCAAUUUCAUUUCAGUUAGAUCGAUCUCAUGCAGCUAAAAGUAAAGAUAGUAUAAAUUUCCUCAGAUCAAAUUCUUAGCAUGCUAAAAACUUCCAAUUUACUGCAUGUAAAUUAACAACCAUCGUUUAAUUGAAAUUAAUUAAACACUACACAGUCAAAUUUCAAUGCCUCCCAAGAAAAUAAAUCCUACAUAUUGUGCAUAUAUACCUUUAAUUGUUCCCAAAUCAGCUAAACAUAGUGGUUGCAUAAAAUGGAAAAUCCACAAGUAAUCAAAGUUUAUUAAGAUGUCGACACGCAUUGAGAAUACGUAUGCCUCACAUUGAAAGGUUCAACCAUCCCUUUUGGUCCAUUUUAGGUGGGCCCUUGGGACAACUUGUAAUAACUAAUAAGCUAAUUAACCUCUACUCUUAUUAUGUUGAUUUUACUUUGUGGAAUUGAUUGGCCGAUUUUGCAAAUGUUCUCUUACUUUAUGACUGAUCCAUCUUUAACCUUUUUCUACUGAUUUUCAUUCUCGAAGAUCAAAUAAGAUUAGAUCUUUCUUUUCUCAUGAUGCAUGGGUUUGAUUCUUUUUUUUUGAGAGAGAUAGGUAGCACGCUACCCAUUUCGUUUAUUUUAUUUAGAAAUAAACUUAGCUGAAAAUGUGAAUCAACUAGGAUUCGAACUUGGGUCUCGGAUACCAACCACCAAGCCCUUUGCCACUUGCUCUAGGGACGGUCGGUUGGGUUUGAUUCUUAUUCCAUAAUUUUAUAUCUACAUAUCACCUACGUUAGCAUAAGAGAGAGCUAUUUUAUUUACCUUAUUCAAUUCUAACUACAAAGGGUGUAACACUGAAGCUAUCUUUUGUAUAGUCAGAUGGUGUCUUUCUUUCCACCUGGAUCCAAAUGAGAGAAAAAUCAUCAAUCAAGCUGUGAUGUAAAAUUGACUCGAUGUUUAUUGCCAUAUGUUGGAAUUUAUGGAAGGAACUCAAUAAUAGAAUUUUCAAUGAGUUGUGUAGAUAAACUCGAGUACCACAUAAUGAUACACUAAUGUGGCUCAAAUUUUUUGUAAAUGGGGAUUCAAUUAUUGUUGUGGGGCUAUUCAGCCCCUGCAAUUAUAAUUUAUACUUAUUUUACAAAUAACUCCUAUUACAUUCAAUAAAAUGUACAGGCAAUACCCGAUGCAUACCGACCGUCCCUAGAGCAAGUGGCAAAGGGCUUGGUGGUUGGUACCCGAGACUCAAGUUCGAAUCCUAGUUGAUUCACAUUUCCAGCUAAGUUUAUUUCUAAAUGAAAUAUACGAAGCGGUAGCGUGCUACCUAUCUCUCUAAAAAAAAAAAAAAAAAAAAAAAAAAAAAAAAAAAAAAAACCGAUGCAUUCCUUUAAAAAAAAGAAGUGAAGCUAUGUUCCCUAACCACAGGGAAGAAUUAAACUACAUGUAUGCAUCCUAGUUUUGGUUCAUGAUUUCUUGGUUACAUUUCAAAGAAACUUAAAAGUAUUUCCACAUAUAUAGUGAUGUUAAUUAGUUCAUAUGGGCGUUUGAUCUCUAGCAUAUCUGCAUAUGGGUAGAAUUUUUUUUUUUCUCUGAUUAAACAGGGAUAUACCCUAUUUGCAUAUGGGUAGACUUUUGGAAAGAGUGACUUUAAUUACCAAACAAGUGUGUGAUUGAAGUGCUAAUGCUAUUUUCUCUUGUCAGGUACCUGAUUGGACCAAUAAUAUGCACAUCUAAUUGCGUAUGCAUUUGGGCUUCCAAAUAAAUUCAAGAGAAACAUUAAUUAUAAGUUAAAACAAAUGUAGUUUUUCUAUUUGUUUGGACAGUAAAUAAUCCAGUAUAAAUAUAUAUUGAGAUACAUUUCCUUCCAUUUUCUUGAGGUUAGUGGAUAGAUCACUCAUGAUGAGGAUUUUGGACAAUUUUGAAAGAUAUUUAUUUUGAGACUUCCAACUUGUUUCCAUCUUCUAAAUUCUUGUAAUUCCUACAGCUGAAAUUUUGUUUUGAUAUGUGAUCUCAGCAAUAAUGAGAGUGGAAUUUACCACCGCAAUUAAUAUGGUAACUCCAUUGUGAGCUGUGUAGUAAAGAUGAACCUUUAUUAGAAACUUUAUUAGAAACCAAAAUGUUUUCAUUUGUUUAUUUGGGCUAAUAAUAAGAAUUCAAAAAUGCACCAUGGGAAAGCAAUGCUUCUUAAUUUUAUACUAUUGAUUGGGGUUACUUUUUUUUUUUUUUUUGUUUCCAUUAUUAUUAUGAUUGUAGCAGCUGAUUUUGCCCACGCUGGCCACAUGCUAUGUUCUAGAAAUUAUGGAGUUAGUAGGAUGCAGUAGACAGUUGACAUGUCAGAGAGAUACUUACCUAUAUAUGUAUUCAUUGAUGAGAGAAUAUUACUUACUCCUACCCACAUGACCACAACAAUGAUGUAAUGCAGGUAUUAUUGUCCUUGAAUGUUCUGGUGAAUAGAUUAAUUUGCCACACUACUGUUUAUAAGGUUUAGAAUUUUGAUAGUUCAUUACCAGGGCAAAAUAAGUAGAUAAAUUUCCAUCAUGCCCUUGAUUUGAAUUGAAGCUAAUGCUUCAUAGCAACUUUCAUAUGUCAGAAAAUGAAUAAUACACUGUUGUGCAUUUAUUUUGCACUUUAGUGUGCUAGUUCAUGUAUUGACUUGUGCAAACUAAGAAUUUAAUUAAUUUGAACAAUCAGUUUGGUCCAAUGCUUGUUUCUUUGAAUUGGUUAAUUCCAUUAACUAUUUAGGUGCAUACAUAGUACAAAUUUAUAUCAGAACCAACUUGAGAUUCCACAAAAUCGGGCCAGCAUUAACUCGCCCAAUUAAUUUCAUUUUGAUAUUAGACUCGAUUUCAUCUUUACAUGUAGAACAAAGAAAUGAAUAAACCAUUUAUAAAUAUACAAUUCCAUACCAAAUCUAAAUAUAUAGUGUAGCAAUAAUAGAUCUGCAUGUCUUUGAUUCCUCAUAAAAUGGAAUUUCCAAGGAAAACAAUCACAAAUCAUGCCUUCUUUGAUCCAUUGAACUGUUACUGCCAUUUCUAUUCAAGCAUAUUAGCUGGUGAUCAAGUUACAAUUUGUGACUCAGAAAUAGCCAUCAACUUAUGAGGCACAUUAUUAUACAGCAUGCUUUUGAUUGAACCAACCACAUUAAUUGAAUAACAAUCUACUCAACCCAAAUUCCAACAUAGGAAACUUGAGAAAUUAAAACCACAAAGCCAUGAAUUGAGGGAAUUAAGAACCAUGAUCUUGAACCACAAAUUAAGCUGCAUAAAAGUAGACAUAAUAAUAAAAAAAAAUAGUAAUGAGAAUUAUAAAAGUGAGAAAAAAAAGAAGAAGAAAAAUCUAGUCAGAGGUGCAACAUCAACUUGCAGCAGAAUAAAACAACCAACCAUCUCUUGUCCAACUAUUGGGAUAAAAAGGAUGUCAGCAAGCAGGUAUAAUAUGAUGUGAAAAAACAUUAGAUAAAGGGGGAAUAUAUUCACCUUGUCUGUUGCAUGCUCUGAAGGGGAGAGUCCUUCAAGAUAUGACCAACAAUAUCUUCUCCUUUGCAUAUGAAGGAGGAUCCUUCAAGAUAUGCCCAACAAAAGGAAGAUGUGAGGCUGUCAGGGCAUGACCUAGCAAGGAUUGGCCAUUUAUGCUUGUAGGGACAAGUAUUUUGUGAGGAGCCCUUUCUCUCUCUCUCUCUCUCUUAUUGAAAAAAAAAAAAAAAAAAUCUUACAACUAAGGAGAGGUUGAAUAAAUGCUCUCAAUUCAAUUAAUAUUCAGUUAUUUUCUAAAGAAUAAAUUUUAAAUCCACAUUUAGAUAGAAGAAUUUUGUAAAGAGGGGUUGAUUAUGUCCUCCACCCAAUCAAUUUUUUCAACACAAGACCAUGAAACUAAAUAAGCUAUAUUUUUCUGAAAAAAUUGAUUUGAUGGUCCAAAUUAAAAGGUACAAGUUUAAAUGAACUGCAUCUGACUCCUCCUUUCAUAAAUUUUUAGUCCCACUUCUUAACAUGAUCUUCAAAAUGGUCACUCCAAGCUAGAUCAUGCUGGCAGCUUCACCCAUUCCCAUGGACAAUUCCUAGAAACCUUCCUACUCUCAAAUAUAGUGGUACUGGUAAUAGGAGUUAGUCUAUGAUUGAAGGAAUCUAAUUAAGGGCCUGGGCCAAACAAUAAUAAUAAAAAAAAACAUGGGGGCUAAUCCUACAAGAAAGAGAUUUGAUUCAAGUAGGGGGAAAAGGUUCCACUAUAACAACUGAAUGACUUGGAAGGUAGUGUUAUCUAAGUCAACUCCAACUCCUAGCAAAAUAUAUAUAUGUAUAUAUAUAUAUAAAAUGCAAUACUAGACUUGUUAGUGUGACACAGCUGAAUCAUACUAAUACUAUGCACAAUAGCACAAGAGUGUAGUAUACUACACUACCAUGAAAAAAUAUGCAAUAAAUUGGUUCAUAUAUACAAUGAUUUUUUCUUUUUUCAUUACAAAAAUGAUCAAAAGUAAGAAAACAUCCCUUCUUGCUUUACAAACAAGCAUCUGCACAAAGUAAUAUUGAAAAAAAAAAGAAGAGAGAAAGCAUGCAUGGAGAAAAUCUAAAAAUGUGUUGCUCAAGAUUAAUUCCAGCUUUGAAAAAGAGCAAAUAUAAGUUAAAAAAAAAAGAUUAAAUAAGGACAAAGACAGAUCAUAUGGCAACACAACAUAUAGAUUGAAGGAAGAGAAAGUGUGAACAUUAGCAUGCAGAUCAAGGUCAUACAAAAUAGAUGGUAAACAGAAGCACGGAAAACAAUUAGAGAUGAAAGAAAAGAGAAACAUAGCAUGAAAACUAACAUGAUAGAACUACUAAACCUCUUCCUGGGCUGUGAGAUUUAUACAUGGUUUGAACUCCUUUGACCGGCCAGAGCAAGUGGGUGUGAGCCAUAAAGUAGAGAGAGAGAGAGAGAGAAAGAAAGAAAGAAAGAAGGGUCUAGAAAGAGAAAGAGAACAGGAUGAUUAGGGUUAGGGUUUGAGUGUGAUAGGUGUGGGAGAGAGAGAGAGAGAGAGAGAGAGAGAGAGAGAGAGAGAGAGAGAGGGUUUUUAGGGUUAGAUAGUUUGGCGAGUCAUAGGGGCCGUACCCCCAUGAGCGAUCACAUUAGAUAACACUGUAAAAGCUUUUAAAAAUUUCACAAGGUCGAGAUGGAACGGAACAGCAUUUUUUUCUCUUUUAUUUAAUUGGUAAAUUCACAGGAGCAGUCCCCUUACUUCGCCUAUAUUAUGAUGUCCAUUUUACUUGCCUUCGAAAGCCCUAUAAUAUAAUCUAUAUAUGGUUUACUCAAACUUACUUGAAUUUAGUCUCAUAAUAAAUAAUAAAUAAAUCUAUCUGUAAAUAUUAAAAUUAGUUUUAGUAAUUGAACUUUCCGUACACUUUACGUUUUAGUUUUUAACCAAUAAAAAUAUCGGGAUUGUUUGUUAUAAAAUAAUUUUUAAAUUUAUUUUAGGAAAAACUUUAAAAACCCGCAUUGUGGUUUCAAUUUUUUUUACUUUAGUAUUCUAUGGUUUAAAGUAUAUCAAGUUAGUACCAUGUGGUUUCUCACUUUAUCACUUUAGUACCAUGUGGUUUAAAGUGUAUCAAGUUAGUACCUUGUGGUUUUGCACUUUACCACUUUAGUACCUUGUGGUUUUAAUUUUGUAUCAAGUUAGUACCCUGUGGAUUUUUAAACCAUUGGGUACUAAAGUAAGAAAGUGUGAAACCACAGGGUACUAAAGUGAUAAAGUGCAAAACCACAUGGUAUUAACUUGAUACACUUUAAACCACAGGGUACUAAUUAAAGUGAUAAGUGAGAAACCACAGGGUACUAACUUGAUACACUUUAAACCACAGGGUACUAAAAUAAAAAAGUGUGAAACCACAUGAGGGUUUUUUGAAGUUUUCCCUUUAUUUUAAGCAAAUAAAAUAGUUUUUAUAUUUGAAGGAAUAUAAUAGUUAUACAGAAACAAGCUUUUAUAUAGUGAGGAAUUCUACACUGUCACACUUGCAACACGCGCGUGAUCAAUAUCAAGCCAAUCACAUUUAAAAAAAAAAAUACAAUAAAAAUAUUUUUUUAAUAAUCAUGAUGGGACAUAUAUCUCUAAAAAGAGAUAUUUGAUUAGCUUGUUAUGCCACGUCAUUAAUAUAUUCGUUGCAUUCUAGAAUUUUUCCCAUAUAACAGCUACAUUGCAUUAUUUAUGUUCCAGCUAAAAAUCAUUAUAGUAUGCUUAAAUUUUAGAAAUAAAAUAAUCUCGAUUAAAAAUAUUAUAUUAGCAGUAUGACUAUAAUAUUUUUAUUUUUUUCCUUCAGUUAGAUUCCAGUCAUUGAGACAAAAAAAGUACAGGAGCAAGUUGGGAUGUGAAAAUAGUAUAAGUACCAUUAAUUCAAACAUUUUUACAACAAUUUGAAUAUAAUAUGCGACCGUUGCAGAAGCUGCGGGAUCCAUCCAUAACAUGACAAGACAACAAUAAUAGUUAUUGCCUGCAGUUUAAUGCUUUCCGAGGGGAAAAUUUAGAAUGCUUUAUAUUACUGACGUGACGUGGAUUCUUUGAGUAGUAAAAUUAUUUUUUUAAAAUCUAUUCGUUCUAUUAUAAUUAAUAUAAAAUUUAUUUUAUUAUAUAUUUUUUUAAAAAAAUAAUAAUUUGAUAUUAAUGAUGUGAUGUAAAUAUGAUGCCGUAGAUUUUCUCUUUUCAAGGACUCUUGAAUUUUGGAUUGUAGCCGUGGCUAUUAGAGAAUCAUUAUACAAAAUAGAAGCGCUAUUUGUGUGACAUCCUUCUUUUCAGUGGAUUUAUCAUUCUAAAAUUAUUGUAAUCUUAAUAUAUUCAAUAUUUUUAAUCUCUUGGUCUUAACCAUUGUUUAAAAUAUUACAGUCAUAUUAAGAAGAUUAAUAUUAUUAUUUCUUAUAUAUAGAACUAUUUCAAAUUUUGAGAAUAUCACAUUUCUUUCCUCUUAGAGCCCUUGGUGUUCUAGUUACGUUCGAGUACUAUGCUCACAAGUACUAGACGAUAUAAGACUUAUUUUACUAGUCUUAUCAUUCAGACUCUGACUUUAACAUGUCAUUUUCAGUUCCUAAUUUUUAACGUGUCAUUCAUGUUGAGAAAUUAGAUUGCAAAUUUUAAUAAUGCAUGUGUAUUUGAUAAAUUACUUGGUGAAAUUUAUGUGUUAAACGAAUGGACUCCUUCGUAGGGACAUGUCUGUUCAAACGAAUGGACUCCUUCGUAGGGACAUGUCUGUUCAAAUGAAUGGACUCCUUUGUAGGGACAUGUCUAUUCAAAGAGACAUGACUUUUCGAUUCGGAUGUACCUUUUGAAAACAUAUAAAUAGAGGCUCUUGUGCCAAAAUUUCAUAUUAUCAAAUAGUUUCCAGAUUUCAGAGUUAAGAGCGUGAGAGAUUCCGAGUUUUGCUUCUUGAGUAUCUCUAGCCUCGUUCUAUCCCGAGAGUACUUUGUCAUAACCCGAAGCAAACUUUGUGUGGGGGCAAAUCUACUCUUUGGAAAGCGCUGAACCCGUGGCUCGAGGCUUUCCCCGUGUACGAAUAUUUGCUCGUGUUUAUUACUUGAAGUGCUCGUGGCGUCUCUUGCGGUUGUCAUUCCAUACCGUCCCUAACAAUUCAAACCUAGUUUAAUUAAUCAAGACUCAUCUCACAAUUAAUUUGAAAUAUAAAUAUAGAGAAAUUAAAAGUUUUAUACUUUCAUACUCACAACGAAUAUGUUAUUGCUAUCUUUUAAAUGUAAUAUAUAGUUAGGAAUAUAAGUAUUUAGAUAAUUUAUUAUGAAUUUUCGCUAUGGGUAUGAUCUUUCGGAGGAUCUAUUAAAUACAAUGAAGAGUUCUUACCUUAGCCGCGUAAUUAUAGAUUAUAGAUAUUUAAGAAAUCACUAAUCCUUGUCACUUAGGGGAGGUGCUGCGGAAAAAUAGCUCGACCCAAAAUGAUAAAAAGCCGUCACAACCCAAGCACAACGACACAAUUAUCAAGUGCGCGCUCUACAACUGAGCUAACAUCAUCAAGUAAAGACUUUGGGUUUCCAUCAAGCCACUGCUACAUCUAUUUCAUUAGGAGUUGACAAUAUUUUAACAAACAUUCUAAGGGAUGGUGAGUCCAAGAUGCUGAAUAACAAAGUUUUAUUUUGAAGAAACAUCAUCACUAUGAGAAUGUACACGCAAUAGAAAAAUUAAUUAUGUCAAUCUAUUAAGAUGCCGUAUGCUACAGGUGAAUAUUCAUAUGCGACAAUAUAUAAAUACUAAUUUUCGGAUCAUUGAUCCCCCUCUAGCCUGAUCUAUCUAAUGUCUUGUUCAAGAGGUAGGAAAAAAUUGCAACUCACAUGCACCAAUUAGUAGGUAUGAGAGGAUUAAUGCCAGAUCCCUAAGGACAAACAAUUGAAAAGAAAUAUCGAUUCUUUGGGAUUAUUCUUACCUUCUUAAACAGAAUGAACAAAGAUGGAAUCAGAUUGAUUCCCGAAAUGCGUUUUUGGAUCUUCCUCAAUGUCCCGACUAUUUAAGGAACGUGAGAAGCAGAUGAAUAAUCAUUUGCUUUCGAAAGAAAUCGAAGAAUUAAUUAAUCAUGCUUUCCUCUCAGAGAGCAACUUAGUUUUUUCAUCUGCAUGCACGCACUUUACUUUAUUUAUUUAUUUACAUUAAUCAUAGAAUCUUUUUGAGGAAUGCUUCAAUACACCAGGUAAAAUAAAUCUAACCGUUCAUAUUUUAAGGGCGAGAUUGACUUUUGCAUAGUGAUUACCUGCUCAACAGGUUACCAUUCGUAAGGAUAAUAUGGAAAAAAAAAUACAAACUACUAAGCAAAUUUGAUCAACCUUAUACAAAUAUUUGUUUCCUUGUUUAAUUUUGUUACUUACCAAAUUAGAUAGUGCUAAUUUGAUAAGUAAUAAACCUUUAUAAAUUGAAUUUAAAAUUUAAUUUGAGCUUAAACUUUAUAAUUGUGUACAUUAAAUUCAAAUUUAAUUUUUAUUUUUAUUUUCAGAAUGAAAAAAUUUAUGUUUAAAUGAAUAGUAUAUUUCAAUUCAAAUUGUUAAUUUGAUAUAUUAAAAUGACACGAAAUUUCGAAUAUAUUAAUUUAAUUUAAAUUAUAAAUUAUGCUAUAUUUAUAAACAUAACUUUUAUUUUUUAUUUAAAUUAAAGGCUUUUAUUUUUAAAAUUAAAUUCAAAUUGUUCAUUCGAUAGUCAAAACAACAUUAAAUUUUAAGAAUAUUGAUUAAAAUUAAAUUUUAAAUUUAGAUUUAGUUUAUAUUAUAGUUAACAAAUAAAAUUUGUUAACUAUUUAAACUAAAUGAUACUAAAGCAAAAAAGGAAAAGAGGAGCGGCGAGGAAGAAGAAAUCACGACUACGUGUAGGAAAAUAUUGCGAUCCACAAGACUGCACUCAGCCUCGUGGACUGUGUGGAGUGAGAGGUCCACGGUGGACCUCUCGCUCCACUCCCCCUGUGUGUGUGUGUGUGUAUAUCCAAUUUUAUUUUUAUAUUUUAUAAGAAUUAUAAUUAUUUAUGCAUGAUAAUAGAAUAAAUCUAAAAAAAUUUUAAUUAAAUAAACCAAUUUAUAUUCCGAAUUUUUAAAUGAUAAACGUAAAAUUUUCGUAUAAAUCGUGUAUACGAAUUAUUGGUGAAUCUAAUUUUUAAACCGUAUUUUUCAACGAACUUAAAAAUUAAGAUACGAAUUUUAUUUGUAUUUUAUCCGUGUCGAAUUUUUAUCGUAUUCGAAUUAACUAACUAUGGUUUAAAGACAUGAGGUUUAAUUUAGGAAAAGUAAUAAUACAAAGAUGGAAUAUUGGAGGAUAAGAAUGAAGGAAGGUGGAAUAUUCUAAAUUUACAAAAAUAACAUGUUAUAAGGAUGGAAUUUACCAAAAUGCCCUCAUUGCAAACUCCAUGUAAUAAAAAAAAAUUUUGCCCUAAUUAAAGUGGUGACCGGUAUCUAUACCCCCAAGUGCCGGUCACCCUUUUUUAAUAAGUCUAUCGUUACCGUCCAUUUAAAGAAUUUUAAUGGUUGAGAUUUGUUCGGUGCAUAGGAGCAUUGCUCAAUAUUUUUAGGUCCCAAUAUAUCCAAUGCCGGAUAGCUGCCAAGCAGCACAAGUUGGAAAACACUAUCUGUGCCCCUGCCACAUUUAUAGUGGCUGCUAUAGCGCUUGCUAUUGGAUCAUUACCCGCUUUGAUACCCCCCAAGCGCUACGUACUUGUUAUCCGCUAUUUACAACCGUAGAGAGAAUACAUCAAAAUUGUCUUACUUGCUUUUCUUUGAUGAGGUAGAAAACAGUAAAGACUAACUAGGAUUUUCAUCUUUAGAACUCUUUUUUUAAUUAGAAUCUUUAGAAUUUUCAUCUCAUUGUAGACCACCAAUGUUGACAUAGCAAGUAUACAUAAAUUUGCACAUUUCAACAUCUUUCUUAAACAUUGCUAACAUUUACAAAUUAAACUAUAUAUUAUAAGAACACACUACAAUUAAAGUUUUCUCACAUUUAAAUUCUACACGUAGGCUAAAUAGCCCAGCCAUCAUUUAAUAAAUGUAGCUCUGAUAUCUAUUCAAGGGAAAAUUAAUCUUAGCAAAAGAAAGAACACCAGAUAAUAAAAUGUAAAAAAAUAUAUUACAUGAAAAACAACAAAAUAAUAACAAUACCAAACAUCUCACUAGCAUGUUAUGUCUUACCUAAAUCAAUUAUUAUGUGAAGAAAACUAUUGCCUAAAAAAUCCAGUUAGACCCACACUUGCCACAAAGAUUUCAACACUACCACAAACCAUAUAAUUAAGUUAAAGGAAACAGAUGAUGCAAGUGUAUAUUAAAAGUGUUAGAUAACCAAUAAUAACAAGAAUAACUUUUAAAGAGAUACCAUGGAUAGAUCAAUGCAUUAAUGAGAAAUAAAGGACAGUAUUCAAUCUGCAAAAUGAAUAUUGAUGUAAAAGGCAACAAAAGCAUAAAGAUCACAAUGACAACUAGAACAUAUUCAAUCAAAAGUAUGCAAGGUGCAUUUUUUUUUUUUUUUUGAGAGAUGGUGCGAUAUUUUGGGAUAUACCUCUUUCCACUCUAUAAUAGAAAACAUAGAUAGAAAAAACUUGUUUAUAUAUAUAUCAGCCUAGUUAUAUAUAUAUAUAUAUAUNAUAUAGAACUAGGCUAAUAUACUAUUAAUAGCACCAAGUCAUUGGUGCUACCAAGUUUUUGGCCAUUCGAUUAAGAGAUGUGCGGUUAGGAUGAAGUGGGCCCCCUAGGGUUGAGUGGGUGGUUGGUUGAAUAGUAUGAUCUAACGGGUGAAAAUGAUCAAAAGAAUAGAUCUAACGGCGGAAGACUUGGUAGCACCAAGUGCUUCGUGCUAUUAAUAGCAUAGUAGCCGAACUCUAUAUAUAUAUAUAUAUAUAUAUAUAUAUAGACUUAGGCUGGAAUACUAUCAAUAGCACCAAAUAUUUGGUGCUAUUAGGUUUUCGGCUCUUGGAUUAAAAAAUAUACAGUUAGGAUGAUGUGGGCCCCCUAGGGUUGAGUGAGUUAUUGGUUUAAUAGUAUAAUCUAACAGGUGAAAAUAGUCAAAGGGUUAAAUCUAACUGCCGAAAAUUUAAUAGCACCAAAUGCAUGGUGCUAUUGAUAAUAUAUAUCCCAGCCAGACUCUAUAGAUAUAUAUAUAGGCUAGGGCUACUAUAUUUUUAUGAGAUAAGAACCCCUUGUACUCAUAAGUUUUCGACCAUUGUAUGAAGGGAUGUGCGGUUAGGAUGAUAGUGGUUCCCAGUUAGUUUAAUAGUGGUCCCCUAGGGUUGAGUGGGUGGUUGGUUGAAUAGUAUGAUCUAACGGGUGGAAAUGGUCAAAGCAGUAGAUCUAACGGUCGAAAACUUAUGAGUUUAAAGGAACCUAAACUCAUAAGAGUAUAGUAGCUAGACUCAUAUAUAUAUAUAUAUAUAUAUAUAUAUAUAUAUAUAUAUAUAUAGUGGGCUGGUAUGCUUAUGGAAGUACGGAGCCCUUCGUGCUUCCAAGUUGUUUUCGAUGUUCGGACUUUCGAAUCGACGAUCGGCUCCAUUAGAGUUGAUCUAGAGUAUUUGAAGUACCUAGAAAAUAAAUUUUGUGAUUUUUCGAUAUCAUUUGCCUAGUGAUCGAAGGGGCUCAAAAUCAAUAAUUUUAACGGCCGUGGUGAGCCGGUUGCAAGUUUAACGGUGUAGAAAUAUCCAAAUCACAUGAAAUUUUGAUAGAAAAUUCUUUAUACCAUAUAAAACAAGAUCAAUAACUUUGAUCUAAAAUUUUAAUGUCAUAUCAUCAUAUUUUGUAAGAUUUUUAUUACUAGCCUGAUUUUGACCACUCGAUCACUAGGCAAUUAUAUCGAAAAAUGCAAAUUUAUUUCUAGAUACCAAAUAUCUAAUCAAGUCUAAACAGACCCCGAUCGUCAUUCGAAAGUCAAACCUUGAAAACAAAGCUGAGCCCGGAGCCCGCCUGCUCAAACACAUCCUAGCGCCUAUAAGUAUAUACUAUAUAAUUAUAUAUAAAUAUAAUACGAUAAAGUCCGCUAGUCUUGAAAAGCACAAGCACUUGGUGCUUGUAAAAUUUUACCUGUAAAUCUCGCGCUUUGAUUAUUGUACUGCCGUAGAUAUACUAUUCCACCAAGCCACCCACUCAACCACUAGGCCCACUCAUUGUAACCGCACAGCUUUAAUCCAAGGCUAAAAACUUACACACCAAUAACAUGACGUUUAAAGCAUAGGAACUCAAUUUAUAUAUAUAUAGUAUAGAAUAUAAUAUACUAAUAUAUAUUAUUAUUAUAACUAUAAAAUACUAUAUUUAUAAGUUAGGUCUGGUGCUAUUAGAAGCACGAAGGCUCCGCCUCCUAAGUCCAUUUCAAUGAUAACUUUCGAAUCGACGACCGAAUCGGCUCGUUAGACUGAUUCUAGCAUAUUGAACUAUUUAGAAAAUAAAAUUUGUUGGAUUUUUCGAUACUCAAUUACCUAGCCAUAAAAGAAUCAAAUCAACGGGCUGAAAAUAAAAAAUUUCAUAAAACAGUGUGAUAUAGCAUUAAAAUUUUGAUGGAAAUUAUUAAUUUACGCUAGAUCAAGUCUAACGGACCAUCGUGCAUUCGAGCUCCAUCAUCGAAAACGGCUAGGAGUACGAGCCUCCGUGAUCCUAAUAGCAAUCAUGACCAUAUAUAAUAUAAUAUAUAUAGAUAUAUAUAUAUAUAUAGAAUUGAAUCUUCGAUACUUGUAAAAGAACCAGUCGUUGUUUUAUAAAUUUAGCCUUGGAUAAAAGAGUCAUAAUAAUUGAGCUCUUUAUACUUAUUAAAAGUACCUCAGUCAUUGAUUUGUAAAUUUUUAGCCCUUGAUGAAAGAUAUACGGUUAGGAUGAUAGUACCCUCUAUAGGGUGAUGGUAGUUGUUAAUAGUGAUCUACACGAUAAGAAUGAUCAAAUGAAUAGAUCUAACGUAAAAACUUAGAAGUACUAACUGCUUGUCUUUACAAGCACCAAGCUAUCAUAUAGGUCCGCUGUGGUGCUUGAAAACCAAGUAUUGUGGGUGUUAAAUUUUUACCUUAGAUCUACGCCCUUUGAUCAUUGUCACUACCGUAUAAAUUAUCCAUUCAACCACUACCCACUCAACACAGGCCCACAUCAUCCUAACCGCACAUCCCCUUAAUCUAAGGAAUAAAACUACAAGCAUCCCAAUGACUGAUACUUUAAAAGCAUAUAGCCAAUUAUAUAUAAUAUAUUAUAAAAAUAUAGUAUAUAAUAAUAUAUAACUAAGCUACUAUAAAUUACGAAGCCACGGAGCGGCUCUCUGCUACCCAUAAGUGUUUUUAAGAGGCGCUUCAAUCGACACGCCCGUAGACUUGAUCACACUAUUAAAAUAUUGAAACAAAUUUUAAUAAUUUCGAAUAUCUUUACCUAUCAAACAAGUAGUCUAAAAUUGAACGCUGAAAAAUAAAAAUUUCUAAAAAUAAUGUGAAAAGAUUAAUUCAAAUCAAUAUACUAUCUUACUCUAAAUAUGAAAAGAAAUUUUUAUAAAAUUUUCAUCGAUUGGCAGUUUUAAAUACCGUUAAAACUCUCAAACACACAUAUCGGCCAUAAAAUUGUCAAUUUGAAUCGUUUGAAGCACUAGUCAAAUGAUGUUGAAAAAAUCUGAAAUUUAGUUUCCAAAUACUUUAAACUAGUUAAUCAAUCCUCACGAGCCGAUCGUCGAUUGGAACUGCAUCAUCGAAACAACUGCUAGGCAAGAGCGCCGGUUCUACCGAUAGAAAGACGCCGACAUAUAUAUAUAUAUAUAUAUAAUAUAAUAUAAUAUUUAAGUACUAUGGCUAGGCUAACUGUAACUUAUAUAGUAUAGAGUACUUGUCCUCAUAAGUUUCGAUCGUUCGGCAUUAAAAAAUAUUACGUAGUAGAGAUUGUUUUACGGUUAGGCCUUGAUAUGGGCUCCUCAGGUUAGUGGUAUUGUUGAAAUAUAACUCUACGGGUAAAAAGAUUACCGAGCCCUCUACGCAACACUUAUAGUACAAAAAGCUCUAACUCAUAAAGUAUAGUAGCCAGAUCAUAUAAAACUAUAGUAGAUAACAAAGCAAUUGAAAAGAAGAAAAAUAGAUCAUGUCAUAAGCUAACUUUACAGUUACUACACUCAAUUGAUAGGCACAAAAGUCGAAGACAGCUUUUGCACUUGUCGGUUGAUUUUAAUGGAAUUAAAGGCAGUUUCCUAAACUUUUCAGAGCAAGUUAAAAUCAAUUCAACACCUUGAAUAUAUCUCUGAAAAAUUUCUCUUUCAAUCAAUUUACCUUUUAAUGUACUGACGCCUACCUUAACAUGUUGGUUAAGUGACUAAUUGGAGUUUUUUAGCUUAUAGUUGGCUCACAUUCUUUAAAGUAGAAUUCAUAUUCUUAUAAAAAAAAAAUGAACAAAUAGAAAGUAUUGCUACUUUCUCUCGAAUCAAUUAAACUUGUUCUUUCGCAUUUAAACUCCAAAAUUGCAUGGUACUACCAGGCUAGGUUAAUAACUCCUUAAAAGUUUAUUAAAUUGUUCACAUACUAAAAUGAAAUUUUUUUGGCUAAAGCUUCACAUAAUUAACAUGAUGGUUACAAGGGUAAAUAGUGGUCAUUUUUUUGCCACCAUGUAUUCACCAAUGGCAAGCAUAUAUGGCAACUACAUCAUAAAGAUUCCCUUUCUAAAAUAGUAGAAUUUAAAGCAACACCUGCAUGCUUUUAACUUCUGCAGAAGCCCCACCUUCAGUCAGGUGGACACAAUGCACAAUUUAAGAAAACAAUUCACACCCCAAGCAUAAAAGAUACUAGAUCUCUCUUUAUCAUGAAUAGAGCACUAAGGCCUCAAAACAGUUCUUUACCUAUAAGAUGUGGCUUUCCUACAUAGAGAAGAACAUAGCUUAAAAUAGCUCUCUGUGGUCCAAUUGAGGUGUGAAUGCAUGCAUAUUGCAUGCACGAAAAGAUGUAUCACCUUGACUCACAACAAUGAGUCCAACCCAGAUGAGCUGUUGAGUGGUUGAGAGAGAGAGAGAGAGAGAGAGAGAGAGAGAGAGAGAGAGAGAGAGAGAGAGAUUGCUCACUAAGAAAAUGCUGGUACAAAUAUAGCAUUGUUUUGCUUGUACUAGCAAAAUACAUUAUGAAGAUAGUUUUGCAUUGAAGUGAUCAAGGUACCAUGUACAAAAAUGGCUACAAUAUGGUUGGUUUAAAAUUAAAAAACUUGGUAAGAUAUCUUAUGUAUAAAGCCAAUUCUAGACAUGGUUUUUUACCAAAAAAACAUCAUGUCAGAGAUUAAAUCGAGUCAAAUUCAAUCAGAUAAAACUUAAAAAUUAAAUUUACAUUCAAAAUUUUGAUUUACACACUGGGCAUCACAAAUGAGCUUAAAAGAGCCUUCGAAUUGGUAUUCGAAGCAAGGUCAUGAUCCGAAAGAAACGAUAGGCAAUCGCCAUCAUCGGGUGGUCCAUAGUGUACAUGUGCAUUCAGUUGGUAGUAGUACUUAGGGGUAACAUGAACAAACUGAAAAUAUCUACUUGUAGCCAUUAAGACCUACAAUUCCAUCAAUGUCCUGUUCAAUUCAGUUGCAGACCACAAUGCAUGGUGUGCCAGGUUGACAAUUUAAGUAUCAUGCAAGGGUUGUAGAUAGUGAAGCAUCCCACUGUGUGGAAUCCUAACAAAACCUAGAGAAAAACUCCAGAAUCAUGAAACCCUAAUAAGUGAGUGGUCCAUGGAUGAAGCUCCCUCCUUUCAAUGUAACAUUGCAUUGUUCCUUAGAAGUGGUCCUCCCCCAUAAUACUACCCACCAACAAUAAUUAAAGAUCUCACAGGCUGUGAACCAGAAUAAGGCCAUUAAAUAUCCCAUGUAUCAUAACCAGAAGAUGUAUGAUAUACUAAAAUUGUCAUGCUAGCUUGUUUAACUUUCCAUGCACAAAAUAUUUAGGGGGAAAAAAACAAGGCACGCCGCGCUGGAGAAAUCGGGACCAUCGACACAUGGACUACAUCGGAAAGAUCGAUGGACCAGUAGAAUAUAUAUAUAUAUAUAUAUAUAUAUAUAUAAUGGUCUUAUUCUGGCGUGGCUGAUCGGUUCAUGCUCAAUGUCAUGUGUAUGCACCGAUCAAAAUAUUAAAUUAAGUAGAAUUUAUAUGUGCAACCGCUUCAAUUCUUUUUACUAAAUACCUAAUAAAAAGGGAAAAGUAUGAAGAUUGUCUAGCGAAAUCGAUGAAAAUAAGAUUUUCAUAGCCUAGUAAUUAAGCAACAUGUAUCUGACCAUCAUGUGGAUGUCCAGAAAACAGCUUAGGAAUAUAACAAAAGCAAGAGCUACAAUUGCAUCAUACCAAAGACUACAAGUACUACAACUUCUCUUUUUUCCUUUUCCCUUUUUUUUUUUUUUUGAGAGAAGUGUUACAAUUAAUAGUAAUUGUAGUAUACAAUAAUAAUGAAUUGCUAGGAUCAAGAAAACAGUAGUCAGAGAUCUAGAAAUUGAUGAACCCAGAUGAGUUGAUAGAGAAGUAAAACUAUCAUGACAGUUGGAAGAUUAGAAGAUGGACCACUCUUGCUCUAUAGAGUAUGCAUGUAGUACUCAGACUAGUCUAUAGAGCAUGGCCUAUUUAUCCAGCUGUUCAAGAGCAGUGUGAUGUAGAUGCAUGUAGCUGCAGAUCAGAUCAGAACAAAUUUUUCUGAGCAGUGUGAUAUAGAUGCAUCAUGUAGCUGCAGUGGAAAGCAAUUUUUCACCAAUUUACAGUACAAAGUUCUCCUUUUCUUAAAAAGGAGGAGAAAAAAAACUACUUUUCCUACCUUUUUUUGGUAGUUAAAAAUGGCUGUGCAUUAAGGGAAGGGAAAAAAGAAAAAAGAAACUCUUUAAAUCAAUCUCAACUUGCUUUGAUGGGCCCGGUCUAUCAAGUGUAGCACGUGUUUGUGGUUAGUUAAGCCCAUUACUAAUUAUAUAAGGGCCUUCAACAAAGCCCAUGUAAGUGUUGAAACCAUUUGUCUUAUUACAAGCCCAUUUAAAUGGUUCUGUACUAUUUGCAAAGGGUUAAUUGCAUACAGCUCCAUGUAAACAUAUCAAAUAGCAAAUAUAUUUCUAUAAAGUUCAACUUUUCAUUUUUAUUCCUACAAAAGUCCAGUAAUAUUCAUAUUUGCCUCUUUAGUUUGUUACCAUUAGAGCACUCUUUAUUUUUUAACAGUAGAUUUUUUUUUUUGAGAGAUAGAUAGCAUGCUAUUCCCUUCGUUUAUUUUAUUAAGAAAUAAACUUAGCUGGAAAUGUGAAUCAAUUAGGAUUCGAACUUGGAACCUCGGGUAUCAACUACCAAGCCCUUUGCCACUUGCUCUAGGGACGAUUUUUUAACAGCAGAUAAUUGAAAUAAUAUUUUUGCGCUUAUAAAUAUAUCCCUCCAAAAAUCCCAACCGUUAAAAUUAUGGAAAAAUUUCCUUCUAAAAAAUUAUUUUACUCAAUAAUAUAAGAUGGGUAAAAACAUCAAUUUAACUCAUUCACUAACCAGAAUUAAGUAUUUUACUUAUUGUUAACUAUAUUUUUCUAACAAAUCUUAACAAUGGGGGUAUAUUUGAAAAUAUUAUGACUUUUGUAGUAAUAAAAAUAAAAAAUUAAAUUUGUAGGGAUAAAUUUGAUAUUCGAUAUGUUUACAAGGAGCUGUAU
rnacentral:lncRNA from 1 species